rnacentral:lncRNA from 1 species
UUCAGUUGUUACCUCAAAUUAGAGCACAUCCAGGCAGCCAGCCCUGCCUCUUCUCCCAAAGAAGCAGUGGCCUCCGCCACGUGAUGGAGUAGGCCCCAUGCCAUCCAUCAUUUCGGGCAACACGGGGAAAGUGUGACAUUGACUCCUGUAAUGGACGUCGUCGACGGACCCUGGCACCAGCGGUGGUGGUAGGACUUCGAUUGAUGGAUUGACCACUUCUUCAACAUGCACGAACACUCGAUACAGGUACGUCCCUAACGUGGUCCGCGGCAGCCUUGGUGGUGACGAAUAGUACAACCCCGGUUCCUCCAUCGGUAUCUCAACACCAAUCACCUUCAGUAUGGUGGACGGCUUCUUCAUCCAUGCCAUAACCGUCAGAGCCCAGCUGUCUGGAGGAGCAAACAUACUUACGAGCUCACCUCCAAUGUCGUUGAUAAGCUCGUUCAUGGACUCGCUGUUCCAAGCACGUCGAGGCAUGCCGUGUAAGGUAGGCUUUGUUAAAAACUCAAGCUUAGAGGGCACCGAGCCCCAUCCUGGGUGCCACCGAUCAAAGCUCACCAGCGCGCCAUUGCAGAACAAACGCUGGGAAGAUUCUAACAAACGACUACAGUCGAAAGUUGUCUGGUUCAUAAGAACCUGACAAUAAACAGUUCGAAACAAUGAUAUAUACAACAUUCAAACACUGACUAGUGACUACUACUGACAUAAACGGCAAGACAUGAUAGUUCAUAAGAAGUCUUGCUAUACCACCAAAACGCACCCAUCUGCAGCGCUCAGAAUCUCGUGAUCCAGACGAGAAUGACAUUCUAAACAGAAGCAACUAUUACAUAGUAAGAGUGACAUAGACGAGGAUGACCAAAUGACAAGGAAUAUGCAUAACAAAAGAAAGAACUACCCAUCCAGAACCAGCAACAAAGACAACAAAGUCAUUCAGAGAGAUGAUCCAACACCAUCAUAGUUUGCAGCCCCGCUUCAGCGACCAGUGAUCUGGAGACACCAGUACUCCACCCUUUCGAUGCAACAGCCCAAUUACCUAUCAACCUGAAGGCUUGAACCACAUCACUGCCUAUCGUAAUUGAGACAUCCAAGGAUCAAAGUUAAUCCGGAUGCCUUUUUCAUUCUCACCUUCUUUUGGCUGUAGGCUGUAUCGUUGACAAUCAAGGGAGUUUGCUCCCGAACUCCUAGGGCUCGCCGUGUAGACACAUUUUUCCAUAGCAAGCAGAGCCUCUCUGCCAUCAAGGUCCUUGCCAGCGGUGAUCUCCUGGUUAAUCGGAUAAUUGAGUCCAAGAAACAGAGAGUGUGAACCAAGGUUGUUUACCCGCCUCCAACUAAAAAAUCCUAAAGGCCCCAACAAGCUGGUAUCCUGCUCAUAGACAUAACAACCACUGUCCGGAUACUCACGUAUUACAUGGUGCUUGUAUACAGUGUUUUUUUUUGCAAUAUAACUUUUCCGGCUCAUGUGUCUGAAUGAUCAUCAGUCUUUUGCCAUUGUCUGAUCGAGCGAGGAACCAGUUGUGCUUCCCUAUUUUUGGCAAAGGUGGUGUGAUUACAAAGGGCAGUAACUAUAGGGACACUACAUCAUAUCAAAAAGGACAGGCAUUGUUAAUGUAAGAUCAACAUUGUGCAGAGUAUGAGUAGGAUAAUGCAAGAAACAGCAUUGAUAUGUCCCUGUUGGAACUGGGAGGAAAAUACAGGGAAAUAUAUACUGGGUUCAAAAAUAUAGAAGUGCCAUGCAUGGUUAUACUCAUAUUAUCUCGCAAUCGAUUCUUCACAGGAAACUACCAUGUCAUGCAUGUUAUGUAAUCAUGUUCUGUCCUCACAAACAAAUCCUUCAAGGUAACUAAUAGACCAUGCAUUGUUAUAUACUCGUGUUCUAUGGGCCAAAAAUUGUGAGGAUAUUAUUCUAGCCAUUGAUUGCUGAAGGGCGAAUAUAGGUAUGUACACAUGGUAAGCAUUGCAGGAUUUCACUACUUCCAAAUAUAGAGUUCUCCAUAUGGACAUUUACUUCCCUAAUGUAUGGUUAGAUGAAACCAGCAGUGUAGUGCAUGUUUCUACAUCAUGAAAAUGAGGAAACUAACAUGGCCAUUGAUACAAACUCAUAUUUAGUAGUAGUAUAUAGAUUACUGUAAAAUACGGAUAAUAUCCACGUAUUGCUAACCGUUUGAUUAUUCAGGGUACAAAUUGGCUGUAAUGACAUGGUCACAAUCGCAUGAAUUAACUCAUUCCAAAUAUAGCUGAUUUACGACGUCUCUAAUACAUUGCCAUAGUUCUACUCAAAUUCUUCUCAAACAGGGAUAUGCCAAUCAUCAUAAAAGUUCAAACAGUGUCAUGGCGUCAUCAUUAACAUGAGAUGGAAACAACUUACACGCGCCGUCCCAGCAAUACAUGGUGCCAUCUGCUUUGUCAAUCUCGUAGAUGAUGCCAUUGUGUUCAAUAGCAUCACAGAAGUGUGUAUCAGCUUUGGCGAUGAUCCACUGCGAGCUGGGUUCUCUCCAGCUAAAGAAGGCACCGACAUAAAGAUAGGAGAGUCCGCGGUCGAAUAAGGCAAUUAGCUUGAAGUCUGCGUAAUUCGCAUGUCAUGUGGGCACUUGGCAGAUUACAAUCUUCUGCAGAACAAGGUCCGUCCAACUGACAUGGUAAUCUAGAUGACUUGGACCGCGAUGGUAAUACUCUAUACAAUCCAACGGAGGAAGGAUAAUCUCAUGGGAGGUAUGGAAGUUCAGGAGCACCAACUUUUUACCGUCUUCUCUGAAGGCAGCCAUCCAGUGGGAGUUCAUGCCGACCCAGUACAUACCUGCCAAGAAGUUUCAGGCGAUGGUGAUCGGAUCGAUGUCGAGGGAAAUGAUGUACGGCGACCCACUACAUACCUGCAAAGAAGUUUCGGCUAAUGGAGAUCGGAUUGAAGUCGAGGGGCAUCAUGUACGCCUCCGUAUCAAGGUGAGCCAAUCUCGCAAGACCAGAUAGCAGCAAGCAGGGUGUCUUGAAAAGCUUAGGCCUCUCUUCGAUGAUGGCCGUGUGCAUGUCCCUUGAGCAUGCAGCCAGCCGCAGGGCGCUCAACAUAUCCAUACACGAACAACAGAGGUCGAGGAUGUCACUGGGGAGAUUGCUCCAAUCGUGGCUCAUAUGGAUGCUGCGUGGUUCGCGUUCGGCCAUGGUGGAGUUUGGAAGGUGGGGUUUUUGGGGGGCUUGAUUUACGAGGGAGAAGGCUAUUGGUGCUGGAGCAGCUAGCGAGGGAAUAGUGGUACUGGGGGAGGCGAGUGAGGCGACGGUACACUGGGGCACAGUGAGAUGGAGAUGGAGACGGAGAAGGAGAUGGAGAUGGAGUGGUGCUAUGGGAGCGGAGAGGGAGACGAGGCGAGGCGCCAAUGUGCUGUACAACAGCGAUGACAGACUGCACAGUGCACAGGGUGAGGCUGACUUUGGUAAUCCGAACAAGUCGCGUGGACUAGUGUCAGGCGCAGGGUGUUGUCACUUCACUAUGAGGACCGGAUGAAUAUUAUUUUGACCAUCAAGUGUACCACAGUUGUACUACUACUACUACUAGUAGGAACAUGAGUACUCCAGUAUUGUAUAGCGGAAAUAGGUCUCCCGUGUUAGCAUACCUGUUCACUUCAUCGUUCAGGUAUCAUCCAUAUUGCGAGCAGAACCAAAUUCUCGUGCAUGCCCAAUCAACGCCCUACCGCGAUCAUGCAGUGGUUGUUCUGGUGCAUCAAGGACGGCAUGCAGAUAAUUCCACACUUGAGAAGAGGAAAAUGGAAAGGUAGAACGCGGCAGCAGAGGAAGAGAAUGCUGGUUAACGAGGCUGGGAGGGGAUCGAGCAGGAAGUUAAUGCUCCACGCCUAAAGGUUUUGGGAAAACCUGAUUUUCAUAAGGUGACUUAUACUCACCUAAACGGAGGGAGUAUUCCUUAACCAGAGAAUGUUGUGUCUCCCACUCACGCGCUCAAAAAAAAGAAGCUACGACACAUUUUUUUAUCUGUUUGCAUAGGUCCCACCUAUCAGGCAGGAUGGGCAUGUACACGAACAGGUACGACUCAUCAGUCUACCCGCAUAGCCUUUUCGUUUAGUCUACCUAGCCGUCUAAUCAACUGCCUGCACUCCACUUCUCCCAUUUACUUCUCCAUCGGGAACCGAUUCUCCUUGGCUUCUUCACCUCUCCUUCGUCUUCAUUUGCAUCCAAACCCCACUGCGUUCACAUUGUUUUAACCUCUUUAAAUAAUCAUCUACUACUUUAGUUAGACUAGCCAUCUAAUCCUAAUUCUCCAAACCAUAGCCCUCUGUUCCAGCGGUUCCAAAUGGCGAAAGAGAUCGAGAUGCAAGUUUUUAGCGUCUAACAUGUCCUCGUCGAAGGAUUGAUGCGCAUAGUUGCCACCGUCACCGUCCACCCAAGGGUUCUUCGGCAGUGGAUCAACAAUGUAUCCAACUCCCUUGAAAAGGUAGAGACAAGGGUCAUCGGUCUCGACGCAGAGUACAUGGAGCGUGCCCCUCGAAAGAUCCAGCGCACCGCCGUCCUUCAGCUAUGCCUCGAAGAUGAUGUUUUGGUGUACCACAUCAUACACUCGCCCUCCAUACCAGGUGAGCUUCACGAUUUCUUGUCUCGGGAGGACAUAUACUUCUGUGGGGCAGCCAUCAAAGGGAACAAACAGAAGCUGGAGCCGUACAACCUUGAUUUGAAAAGCAUCGCUAACCUACAAACCAGAAUCAAAAUUCCUGUAGAAGAUUGUGAUAAGCAGACACCAUCCCUAUUCGACGUAGCAAAAUUUGUGCUCGGUACAAAUCUUCAGAAGGGUGACGAGACGGUGGCAUUAAGGUCGUCUGGAUGGGAGAAUUAUCUCUUGACAUACGAGCGGAUAAAAUAUGCUGCCCUCGAUGCCCGUGUGAGUUUCGAGAUAGCUGCAAGGUCCAAAGAGCUUGUUGCGAAGCCGUCUCCCAUGGAGAAUGAGAACAAGAAGAAGAAGAAGAAGAAGAAGAAGAAGAAGAAGAAGAAGAAGAAGAAGAAGAAGAAUAGGAAGAAGAAGAAAAGGCUGCACCAGCAGGAGGGCAUUAUGGAUGGAUGAACUAUUUCCUCUCGUGUAAAAAAAAUAUUCCCUCUCGGUGUAUAUUGAUAUAGAUGGACUAUUUUGAUGGUGUGCAUGUCUUUGGAACAGAGUAGUAGCAUGGGUCCGCUUGAAUAUAAGGAACUAUUUAUCCGCAUAUAUAGCUUUCUCUGCUACUCCUUCCAGUGAUCGGUAUGUUGUGCAUGUGUCUGUAGACAUGACAGCUUGUCCAUGGAAGUUCAACUACGGCGACCAUCACGUUUCAUCUCGCGAUUCCCACGACGCCUCUCCAACCCACGACACCACGCCCCCCGACGUGCUCCUCACCGCUCUCAGCCGCACCGCCCCUCUGCCUUUGUGUGCAUGACAUGUGGGCCACCUAAAAUGCGGCGAGCAUCAAAUUUCUACCACAGCCACACGCGAUUCCCACGACGCGACUCGAACCCAUGACUCCACACGUCCCCCGACCUGUGGCGCACCCCUCUUGGCCCCACUGCCCCUCUGCCUUCGGAAGCAUUACAUGUGGACCAGUCACCUAUCGGGUCCACAUGUUAUUGACUCAAAGGCGCUGAAGCUCAGUCCCGACGGCCCUGAGAGGGAAAUGUAACUCCUAUGUCAGGGCUUGUGGUGCUCCCGCAGCACGAACUCGUGCCAAACUCGAGAUUUGUUUCUUUACUAUACAUGCACACAACGAUUUAAUGGACAUUGUAAUCUCAACAUGUGAUGGGGAGCUCUAAUUUUGAAUUUGAAACUUAUAAAACGAAAAGAUUCAAAACAAAUAAACUGGGAGAGAGGGAGUAUAUCAUAGGAUGUGUCCCAUACAAAAUAAGUCCCCUGGUUUGUCACUGCGAAGAUGCGGUUAGAAAGGAGCACAACGUCUUCCUACUCGUACGACAACAAAUCGGCCGCAGACAGCAUGGUCCGCCUUUGACCGCCAUGUGCAAGGUUCAUGCUAUCUUAUUCAAUCUCACCAUGGUUCCAUCAUACCAAUUCAUGCGGUGGCCCGUUGCAUGGCUGAUCCUAAUGCUGGACAAAGGUUCUAUGGGAAUGGUGUCACCAUUGUAAAUUUUGUGAAAAUUGAUGUUGGUACCCUCCCGUACAUAUGCAAGCCAAUCUCCACUCGCACCGAGCCUAACCUGUGAAACAGUGGGCAGGGGGAAUUUGGAAAUGGACACGAAAGUAGUCUUUAGAAUGCAUUUACUACGUGAUCAAACUCAUCUUACCUGCUCAUCGGAGGAAAUUCGAGUGCCCCUCAACGUCGGCAUCUCAAGGGGCGUCAACUUGCAACUACGGCCACGCCGCGCUGGAGAGACCCCCAAGGAAACAUCCUCGUGCAUUCCACGGAACAUCAAGAUGCAUUUGUAUGAGUAUUUUAGCUUCUGAUAGAAAAGGAUGAGCGAGGGAAGGCCUCUGGAGAUAGAGAUGGACACUACUACUACCAAUGCGCUGGCCCGUGCAUUGCAAUGGAUCCAAAGUAGUAGAAUAAUACUUGUUCACGUGCUUGAAAUAUAAACACUCUAGUUUUGAUAUGUAUGUGUCAGCAGACAUGACAGCUUGUCCAUGGAAGUUGAACCACGACGACCAUCACGUUUCUUGUUUCUACCACUGCCACACCCGCACGCGAUUCCCACGACGCUGCUCCAGCCCACGGCACGACGUCCUCCGACGUGGAGAUGGAUCCUCUGACGUGGCUAUCAAUGCCUUGCCCUGCCUUUCCUUCGCUGACAGGUGGGACCCACACUUAUGGGUCACACAUGUCAGUGAAAGAAUGGUAGGAUUGUUCGCGUCAGGGGAUCCUCAUCCCCCCGAUGUGCCCCUCGUUCCUCUCGGCCCCACCGCUCCUCUGCCUUUGUGUGCAUGACAUGCGAGCCAACUAAACUACGGUGAGCAUCAACUUUCUACCACAGACACACCUGAUUGGACAUGGUUUGCCUGCUCCGAUGUUGUGCUCCGAUACGUACUCCCGCACCAUCGAAUCCUCAGCUGGAGUACUUAUGUACUAUAGGUAGUACCAACCGGUGUGGCCAUCUACGCCUCGUAAUGCCCCGACACCCAGCUGUGGCACCCUCGCCACGGCCACGUCACCAUCGGCCGGUUCAUCUCAAACGAGUGAGUCGCGAACCACGCCACCACCAUGAGAAUGACAUGUGGGCCAGCCACAUUUAAGGUCCUCAUGUCAUUGACUCAUAGGCCGGGCACUAAGCCACUGAAGUUCGGUCCCGUGGGCCCCGAGAGGGAAAGGUAACUCCUGCGGCAGGCCUUGUGGUGCUCCCGCGGUACGAGCUCGUGCCAAAAUUGGAAUUUGUUUCUUACUACUACCAACUAGCACUAGUAAGGUACACGUGCAUUGCACGCAUGAGAUUCUGGUGGUUUGUGCAUUAUGCUUCUACAUGUGGAGUUUUCUGGAUUCUAACAUGUGGCAAAAUCUGGUGGAAUGUAAGGUUAGGCAAGUUUGAUUAACUUAGGUGAGUGUUUGGUUCAAGCCACACCUUAGGCAAGCCACACUAAGGCCCCACAUGACACACACACACACAAAAUGUGGCAAGAUUCCCUUAGGCUUGCCAACUUGUGGCUCUCAUUUUGAUGAACUAAUAACUUUGCCUAAGCUUAGUUGUGGCAAAGUUAGUCAUGAAUUAAGGGGCUGUUUGGUUCCUAGCCACACCUUGCCACACUUUUCCACACCUAACCUUAGGCAAGUUUGACCAAGUUAGGUAGGUGUUUGGUUCUAGCCACACCUAAGGCAAGGAUUUUUUUAUGAGCAGUGAGCCCCACAUGUCAUAGACAUAAACAGUGUGGCAAGAUUCCCUUAGGCAAGCCAAAGUGUGGCUAACAAUUUGAGCAACUCAACUAAGACAAGUGUGGAAAAAAUCAUGUGGCAAUAUAUGGCAAAGAUAGUCACAAUCCAAACAACCCCUAAGUUCAACCAUGGAGUCUUCUAGAUUAUACAUGUGGCAGAGUCUGGUGGAUGAUAUCCAACGGCCAGUAGUGCUCGGAUUUGCCAUCUUUGUACCGUCGGAUUGGCUUCAUCCAACGACCAACUUUCAAAGUUUUUCACACACUAUAUAGGGGGUAUAGACAUAGAUGUGCCGGUCCGUUGCAAUGGAUCCAAAGUAUAUCUAUUUAGUGGAGUGCACUCUAAACACAUUAUCUAUUUAUUUUUCUCUAACCUUUUGUAGGCAUGCAACCAAGCCACAUAAGCUUCAUGGGUGCCCCCCACAUCAUAUUAUUCAUACUACGUUGAUUGAAAAAAAGAUAAAUCACCCAAAACAAGAUCUUCCCGUUUUUUGUCCCUACGAUGUUGUGCCUGCAUGUACCUACUAGUUGUAUAGUGGUAGUACUAGUAAUAUAGUUAGGAGUACAAACUUGGUACAAGUAGGAGUAGUACUAGUACGGAAUGCUCCUACUCUAUCAACGAGCCCCAUCUGACACCAAAUUUCUUGGCUUCUGUGCUACAACUAGAUCUUCCCCUCGUUUCUGUUUUCCAACCCGGCAGCGGGCGGGGUGUUGGUUUUCUCAAUGGCGGUCCCACAUGAAAGUGAAAAUGCUAGGCAACACGCCUUCCCUAAGCUAUGUGUCGUGCCGGACGGGCCGUGGAGUACUCCCGAUUCCCGGGCGUGUGGGGGUGCGAUGCGAACGCGGGAGGCCUUUUCCUUUUACUAGCAAUGUGCCCGUGCGUUGCGACGGAUCCAAAGUAGUAGAAUAGUAGUAUUUGUUCACAAACUUGAAAGAAAGCACUAUUGUUUAGAUAUACUCCUAAUAUAUUACUCCCCCUGUACCUAAAUAUUUGUCUUUUUUGAGAUUUCAAAUGGACUAUCACAUACGGAUUAUAUAGACAUAUUCUAGUGUGUCUAGCAAGAUGCCCGCGCAUUGCACGAAGUUGAUGGAAAAGGUAAGCACAACUUAUAAAUUGACGGAUGGAGUACUAGUUACAGUGAUGCAUAUAAUUAAGCAAAGGGAUUGCACAUGUCGGUAUUGUCUGGAACGAGAAUGCAAUAACACAAUAAGAAUUAAGUCCACGAUGAUGUGAUCGCAGUGGUGGUUACAUAAGGCAAGAAGAAAGAUGGAUCCAUGAACGUACGACCUACUCCUCGUCAACUUAGUGUGCUGGGCCACCGACCGGCGGCUAAGGAGCGGCGGCUUUUGUGGCGAGGUCGAGGUGCUUCUCAUCAAAGGCAUCCAAGGCUUCCAGCCGGUUGAGGAAGGCCAACAUCAUAGCGUCCUCACUGGCCUUGUAGAUACCUAUGUUGAUGAGGACAUCAAUACCAUUGUUACACCGACAGCCCUGCUGCCAUACAUACUGGACCAAUUACUAGAGCUCGCGCACGCCAACUAAAUUACCAAGUACUUUCAUUUCUUGGUAAUGAUUCUAAUGUUCAUGAGAAUAUGAUGCUGCCUAAAUUGGAUACAUUUGUUUUGCUUACAAAUGCAGGGCCUCUCGGAGUUGGUUUAGUGAUUGCUAAGGCGCGACGUCCUCGCACGUUCAUAGUCGGAUCGUCAAAGUCGACUUCCACCAAAGCGAAAUCCAUCCUCUCAUCGAAAGACGGGACACCUUUGCCUCUAUCAUAUGUACACGAUUUGCUCGUACACGUGGAUGUGUAGGUCGACGAAUUCUUGCAGGGCGAGGCGCCUCGUGGCGAGCGCGACCUCCAGGUGGACAUUCUUCGUGGCGUCGGCGGGUAGUCGCAGGGCCACCAGUGCUUGAAAGAGGUUCCGGCCAUGGUGGACGAUUAGGGUGGCAGGCAAUGAGGACCCGGGCGCGCGGGCUGGAGGAGUACGGCGAUGUCGUCCGCGAGCUUCUUGAGGACGGUGAACUUGUUGCUGGUGGCAACGAUCAUCUGGUCCAACUAAGAGUCGUAGUUGGCGUCGACGGCGGCCAUCCACCAGCCGGUCUGCAACACCGUUUGGAGACGAUCCUCGGCACCAUGCCGCAGGCCGGCGUUGUGGACCAUCUGGCGCAGCCGCUGGCCGCUCACACGCAUCGCCGCCAUGGGUCUGGAGUGAGCUCUUUUGUGCUUAGUGUAGGUGCCUAGGCAAAUGCUUAGGUGCGUACGAUGUGGUAGAUGCAUUGGAAUGGGGGGGCGCCUUUAUAUGAGGGCAAUGAGGGCAAACUCCAUUGCAUUCACAUCGUGCAGUCUCUUUUCCCGGACCUCCUCCCAUUACUUCCCUCAUGCAUUAAUUGAAGGAGGAUGCAUUGGCCGUUCAACAUAUCGGGAACGGCUACUCCCUCCCUCGUCUGCAUUAAAGUCGUAUCAGGAACUGCGUCGCCCACUGUCAAAUCGAAUACUCCCUCCGUCUAGGUGAGUAUUAAGUCAUCUUACGAAAACCAAAUAGUAAACACAUAGGCGUGGUGCAUUAACUCUCACGUUGUUUCUUAUUUUUUGACAUAAAUAGAGGAAUCAACCAAUAAGAGAUGUGGGGCUUGUAUGCUUUUAAUGACUUGAGACUAUCAAACAUGACGUGCAGUGUUCAGUUCGUUGCACAAGAACAAAUACAACCCACGUCAGCACACACGCAUCUUAUAGCAUCACAUCCAAUGGCUAUAAAAGAUGAAUGAGACCAAAUUAUAUCUCAUCUAGAUGAGUUCUAGCAAAACUGUAUUAAUAAUACUUAGUACUCCUGCGCCAUGUAUCAUAUAUUACUAUGUGUAGUACUUUAUUUAUUGCCAUGUAUGACAUAUAGUACUCAACUCUCUCUCUCUCUUUCUUCAUUUAAUUCUAUGACACCUCAUCAAAAUUGCUAAGGCUAGUACCAUUACAACCAGCCUUAGCAAAUACUCCCUAAACAUUAAGUUCUCUCGUUUUCCUCUCCUCCUUGGGAGUAUACUGCGCAGGCUUUUCCUGCGCGGUAGGAGGCGGGGCAGUUCCGCCUAGUCGGUUCGACAGAGACGCGAGAAGACAAGGGAGUAGGCUGCUGCAAACGUCGGGCUGUGUGAUUUGACAUCGAGUUACUGCUGGACAGGUGGGGCCCCGUGAUUUGAUUUGCCAUUAUCAUUUUAACUGCGGCGCUACGACCGGCGUGAGUCUCCCGAUUCCUGACCACCUCCAUACAGGUGCCUCUCCCAAUGCUCCACCAUGUAGACUGUAGUAGAGGCUGGCUCUUGCAUGAGAGCCCACUUCUCCACUUUUUCCUUGCCUCUCUUUCCUCUACAUAUGCAAAAAUGCCAUGUAAAGCGCACUAUUGUACUUAGGUUGGUCGUAAUGGAGAGUAUCAUAUACUAGUAUCAUGCAUAUGAUACUUUUGUAUGAUACUACAUCCGUAAUGCAUAGUAUCAUGUGUUGGUGUCAUAGGAUAGUUUAUUUAUUGUCAUGCAUGACACAUAGUAGCACAUCAUUUAAUAUGAUACUACAGUAUCAUAUUAUGAUACUCAACUCUCUCUUUUCUUCAUUUAAUUCGACGUCACCUCAUCAAGAUUGCAUAGUUGGCAUGCAUGAUACUACUCCCAUUACAAGCAGCCUUACUGCUCCUACAGGUGCUAAGCUUGCCACAUAGGCAUAAAGUAUGAUGUGGCAAGUUAAUCAAGAAGAGAGAGACUAGUUUGGUGACCCAAGGAAGAAACGGUGCUAAGCGCGUGUACCUAGGUGAAAAGGCAAUUUAGAGUCUAUAGCUAAUUAAAUGAAGCAAACUUAGCAACACCAUUUCAUUGGAAGAGGUCACUCCUUGGCAAAUGCAAUAAAUACUAGUACUCCCUGUGUCCUAGUGUCAAAAACGUUCCUUAUAUUAUGGGACGGAGGGGGUACCAAGAAAGAGAUAGAGAGGAGUAAAAAAAAUACACUUAUAGCCAACCUUAUAGCUAACCUUGUUGUAGUAUGAGUGACUAAGUGAUGACUAUGUAUGACAUGCCAACAUCAGAUAGCCUAACGCACCAUAUUAAAUCUCCAAGGGCGCGACCGCGCGAGUGACGCGACGGUCAUGGUAGGCGCGACCAUGAUACGGGCUGCUGGUAGCCCUUGGAUUUGAGAUCAAACGGUCGCAUGCUAAGUUGCUGAAAAUUUGCAGAAUAACCCUCCAGGAUAGGAUAUUCACCCAUAGGUCUAGAAUCAUGCCAUGCAACCGUUCGAUCUCAGAUCCAAGGGCUCUCGGAAGCCCGUAUCAUGGGAGAAUGGAAAGCCACUACCCUGCCGUUCGCACACUGGUAGUUCGCUCCUACUUGUCCCCGCACGUCCUUCAAUACUACGGCGGUUCGCUCCUAGUCGUCCCGUCCAUUCACAUUACGGCAGUUCCACUAAUCCUAACCCUCCUCCCAAAUCCAUGGCGUCCCAAAUCUCCACGAUUGGCGGUGAGUACAAGGUUAGAACCAUCACCGGCGAUGAGUCCGACGUCAUCUACACCCGUUCUUCUGCGACACUAAAAGGAUGCCUUUCUUGCUUCAGACACAUAUUCGAAGACUCAGAUGAUGAGCGGGUCGCUGGGCUAGAUAUUGAGUACACCAUAGUCCUGGGACGAGAGAAGGAUCUAAAGGACGAAGAGAGGAAGAAGCCCGCUGUGAUCCAGGUUUGCGUGCAUGACUUAUGCUUGGUCCACCACAUAUGCCAUGCCGACGUUGAAUGUCUGGAUUUUAAGGACUUCCUCGAGAGCAACCUAGUCAAAUUCGUUACUGUAGACUUUGGUAACGACAAAGAAGUCCUGGGUCGGAUAGGCCUUGUUGUAGGCAACACCUUCGACCUCCAGAAUAAUCGGUUGGUGUCCUCUUGACAGCCUUCAAUGCUGACCCUGGUAGGAGCCAUGGUUCAUCCUUCAUACAGUAAACUGGAGAAACCUCCAUACACGUUUCAUCGUUAUGCAUGGCAGCGGAAUGUACUAGAUAUAGACCACAUCCACUACGCUGCAAUGGAUGGCUACCUUUGUUUCAAUAUCUACAAGGGUUGGAUGAAGAGCAAGAGCCAAGUGUGCAGUUCAAGCAAAGAAGUAUCAGCCAAGAGGAAGAGGGACAAGGACGAAGUCGAGGACGUGGACGAGGACUCCGAGUAAGGUGGCAGUGUCAUUGCUCAUGGUGGUUCUAAUGCAGUGUCUCCGGAAUAGUUGCAAAGUUUAAUUUCAGGUGUGUUUAAUUUAAUUUGAGGGGUGUGUUGUGCUGAGCCCCCAGCAGAACUAUGUUAUGUUUCUUCUCAUUACUUUAACUCUUCAGUACGUACAUACUACUAUUUCUUACAUUUGAUCUUUUAGUUGGUAUAGUACUACCAUUCAUUUCUUCACAUUAUAUACGUACAAUAUAUAUGGCCAACAUCAUAUAGCCAGCAGUUCAGUUCUCAAAGAAUUUCAGGGUGCUUAGUUUUGUCAAAGAAUUCCAGGAUGCUUAGUUUUAUUUGAGGGGUGGGUUGUGCUGGACACCAUUAUUGUGACUAGACUUUUUAAUAGUACUAUAUGCAUAAUUUGGCGACGAGCGCUCUCUAUAUGUACCACCUUAUUUUAGUUUCAAGUUUUGCUCCAUGGCGCAAUCCAUCGAUACUACUGUUGUACAAAAGUAUACAUUUUUUAAAAGGCUAGAGGGCGGGGCAGUCUAGCUCGGUCGGUUUCACGAGUGUAGGACCUUGAAGUAUGUCUAGAGGGGAGGUGAUUAGACUACUUGACCAAUAAAAAAACUUAACCUUUUCCCAAUUUUAGUCUUUGGCAGAUUUUAGCUAUCUUAGUACAAGUCAAGCAAUCUUCACACAAUUCAAGCAAGCAUGCAAAGAGUAUAUGAGCAGUGGAAAGUAAAGCAUGCAACUUGCAAGAAUGUAAACGGAAGGGUUUGGAGAUUUCAAACGCAAUUUGGAGACACGGUGAUUUUUGAGCCGUGGUUCCGAUAGGUGGUGUUAUCGUACAUCCACGUUGAUGGAGACUUCAACCCACGAAGGGUAACGGUUGCUCGAGUCCACGGAGGGCUCCAUCCACAAAGGGUCCACGAAGAAGCAACCUUGUCUAUCCCACCAUGGUCGUCGCCCACGAAGUACUUGCCUCACUAGCGGUAGAUCUUCACGAAGUAGGCGAUCUCCUUGCCCUUACAAACUCCUUGGUUCAACUCCACAAUCUUGUCGGAGGCUCCCAAGUGACACCUAGCCAAUCUAGGAGACACCACUCUCCAAGAAGUAACAAAUGGUGUGUUGAUGAUGAACUCCUUGCUCUUGUGCUUCAAAUGAUAGUCUCCCCAACACUCAACUCUCUCUCACAGGAUUUGGAUCUGGUGCAAAGAAGAUUUCAGUGGAAAGCAACUUGGGGAAGGCUAGAGAUCAAGAUUCAUAUGGUAGGAAUGGAAUAUCUUGGCCUCAACACAUGAGUGGGUAGUUCUCUCUCAGAAAUGGUAAGUUGGAAGUGUAGGUUUGUUCUGAUGGCUCUCUCCACGAAUGAAGAGGAGGUGGAGGGGUAUAUAUAGCCUCCACACAAAAUCUAACCGUUACACACAAUUUACCAAUCUCGAUGGGACCGAAUCAACAAACUCGGUCAGACCGAUUCAGUAAACCUAGUGACAGUUAGUGAUUUUGGUGGGACCACCAUGCAACUCGGUAGGACCGAUAUGGUUAGGGUUAGGGCAUAACGUAAUCUCGGUGAGACCGAUUACACAAACUCGGUGAGACCAAUUUUGAUAAUAAGCUAACCAGAGAGUUGGUCAGGUAAACUCGGUGGGACUGAUUCGCUCUUUUCGGUGAGACCGAAAUGUUACGAAAGGGAAACAUAGAGUUUACAUUACAAUCACGGUGGGACCGAUCGAUCACUUAGGUUAGACCAAAACAUUACGAAGGGAAACAGAGAGAUUAUAAUCCCAUCUCAGUGAGACCGAGAUCCCUAUCGGCGAGACCGAUUUGCCUAGGGUUUUUGGCAGUGGCUAUGACAUCUGAACUCCGUGGCGCUGGAUAGAAAGAAUCGGUGGGGCCGAGUUUGACUUUAGGUUUAGGUCAUAUCUGGAUAUGAGAAAGUAGUUGAGGGUUUUUGGAGCAUAUCACUAAGCACCGUGGAGCAAGAAAAUCAUUAAGCAACACCUCAUCCCUCCUUGAUAGUAUUGGCUUUUCCUAUAGACUCAAUGUGAUCUUGGAUCACUAAAAUGUAAAAUGUAGAGUCUUGAGCUUUUGAGCUUGAGCCAAUCCUUUUAUCCUUAGUAUUUUGAGGGAUCCACUUUCCUCAUCCAUGCCAUGCCAUUCAUUGAGCUUUUCCUGAAAUAUUUGUCUUGGAAUAUUAUUAGCUCAAUGAGCUAUAUGUAGUUAGGAAUUACCAAAACCACCUAGGGAUAGUUGCACUUUCAAUCUCCCCCUUUUUGGUAAUUGAUGACAACAUAUAUAUCAAAGCUUCGACAAAUGAUAAUAAGAUUGAAAAAACAUCGUCGCUUUGAGAAGUAUGUGAUAAGCAAGAGCUCCCUUGUGCAUAGUUUAAGAUUUGCUUUGGACUGCAAAUGCACAAGGAGUUAGGCUCAUGGGUUACUCUUCCAUGUCAUAUACAUCUUAGUGGAGUGCUCAAAAUAAUAAAGAUUGAAUACAUGCACUCAUCACCAAGCAAAGUGAAUGAUCAUAUAAAGAUAAAUGAGAUAUUGUCAUCUAAUAAGCAUUAUGAUAGCAUACGAUCAAACACAUGAUCAUCAUUGUAUCACACAGACAAUAACGUAGUAUCUCAAGCAAGCAAAAGCAAAUAAAGUAAAGUUCAACCAUGAAGACAAGAGAGAACAAAAACAAACUCUCUCUCUCUCUCGAAGCCUAUGAUCUAUACAUUUUCUCCCCCUUUGGCAACAAGUUACCAAAAAGUUCCUAGAAAAUGCAUAGUACUGUUUCGUCUCUCAGGCUUGAUCUUCAGGUGGUGGUGUAGAGAUGGCUCCUUGGACGAAGACUUCAGUUGAUGUGGAUGGAGCUGGAGGAGUUGGUGUUGGAGCUGGUUGCACUGGAGCUAUAGCUGGUGCAGAUGAAGUGGCUCUGGUGUCUGUCACUAGCUCUGCAACUGAUCUCUGAGCUCGAGACACUCUGGCAAAUGCAUCAGUGGUUGUCCUGCCCUUCCUCUCCUGCAUAUCAUCCUGAAGCUGCUCCACAACAGACUGGAUCUCAGUUACUUUCACAUCUAGGUCAUAGAACUUUUGUUCCAUGAUUCUUUCCAGGAUCUCCUGGUUUUGAGUUAGGGUGGCCAACCCUUUCUCAAUCCUCAGAUUUGAUGCUAUUAAGUAACCAAGUUGGUCCUGCUUGCUCUUCAAAAAGUACUCACAUGCCUCCUCUAAAGUUGGCAUCUUGGCAGCCUUCUCCUUCUGUGCCUUCUCCUUCUUCUCUUGUGCUUGCACUGAAGAUGGUCCAUUCUCAUUCAUGACUACUUGGUUGUCCUCAAAGUCCGGGUAGAUAGCAAAGUGUUCCUUAUCCAACAAGUAUUUGCCUGUGCCCAUCUUGGAGUUGAUCAGCUCCUGGAUUUGUGGGGCAUACCCACAGCUUCUCUUCUGGUCUGCUGUUGUCCUCUUGAUAGUCUCAACUAUGAGGAUCAUGACCUUGAAUUUCUGUGGCACAUCAAAUAUGUGUAGCAAAUUUAUUGCAUGCCCUCUGAUCAUGUUAUGGUCACCUGACUUGGGCAAUAGAGUGUGCCUUAGGAUCCAGUUGAUCGUUGGCAGCCCUGACAGUAGAAAAUGGACAGACCCAAACUUGAAAGUCUCAAGUGCUUUGUCUGGGAUCUCCUUGUACAUGUGUGACAUAGAGUUGUGAUCCUUCUUCUUCUUGGAGUAGACAUCCAAGUCAUCUUCACUCUCCUCUGGUGCAUUGAUCAGUUCAGCACAUUCUUCAAUUGUGGAUUGGUACCUUGUACCUUCAGACAUCCAGACUAUUCUGCCAUCAGGAUAAAAGUGAGUUGUGGAGUAGAAUUGCAUUACAAGCUCAUCAUUCCAGUUUGUGAACUUAUGUCCAACACACUCAUCAACUCCACAAGCCUUAAAGCUGUCAAACACUCCUGGGUAGUGAUGCUCAUUUGCCUUCAUGUAUUUCCAGUCUACCCACCUCAUGUCACAAACUAUGGGCUUCUUGUCCAACAGCACAGUUUCAUAGAAAUCCUGAUGUUCCUUAGUGUGGAACCUAUAAUCAACAGCAGUCCUCCUCCUGAUUGCAUAAGGAUCAGACAAUCUCCACUGCCCGAGCCCUGCAUCCUUCCUCAGCUUCAUGUUCUCAGCCACUGGAUGAGCAUCAUUGUGGUUUGUAAUCUUGGGUUUCAGCUUCCUUAGAACUUGUCCUUCAUCUACUUCCUUAGCAGCAACUUCAGGCACUGGGGCCUUGUUCUUCUCAGCAGUUGGUAUACUCCUGGUAUUCCUCUUAGGUGCAGACUUGGCCUUGGAGGCAGCUUUGGGUGCUUCUUUGGGCUUUGAUGUUGCAUCCCCUGACCUUAUAGCAUCACCCAUAAGCUUUUGUGCCUUGGGUGCUGGAGCAGCAACCUCUUCUUCCUCUUCCUCUUCCAUCAUGGAAGGCUGUCCAACAACUCUGGCCAUGGUCUUUUUGACCCUUUCCUUCCUCUUCUUCCUUUCUGCAGCAGCCUCUUUGGGAUUAGGUUUCUCAGGUUCUUGAGUUGAUCCUCUGACUUUCAGCAUAGGUGUCCUCUUGGCUGGGACCUUCCUGUUUAGUCCAGGCUUUGUGGUCUUAGCUGAGCCAUACUCCUUUUUGAGCACUAUCUUCUUGGAAGUAGCCUCAUCUUUAGCUGCCACAUAGUCUUCAUCCUCAGAGUCUUAGUUUCUCUUCCUUCUGGCCCUUGUGGCUGCUUUGGGCAAAUUGCUUGGAGUGCUCCUGCUGCCCUCAUCUAAGGAACUAGAGGGACUAGUGCCCUCACUCAUGUGAAUCUGCUCCUCUUCCCUGUUCUGGCUGUCACUUUGGUCUGACAUACUGCAAACACUGACUGCUGACCCUGUGAAUAGUUAUAGAUGAGAUAGAAUGGAUGAGUAUCACAAAAUGCAGAGGUUUUUGCAAAAGAAUGAUUCAAAAACUUAGUUUUAGUUUUCCACAGAAAGCAUUUCGGAUCAACCGAUUUGCAAACUCGGAGAUACCGAAGCGGCUUUUGGAACCUAAACUAGUGAUCUCGGUUAGACCGAGUCACAGUUCGGUGGCACCGAGACUGCUAGGGUUUCACAGAGUUCUAAAAUCGGUCACACCGAUUUGCAAUUCACGGUCAGACCGAGAAUCACUUGUGCAAUGGCCUUGGCCGAAUCGGUGGAACCGAGUUUUUUCAACUCGGUGGGUCCGAGAUGGUUUCGGCGGAAACCUAACCCUAAAUUUUCAAUUCACAUCUAAUCUAAGGAUUGUUUUGACUGGAUAGAAGCAUUUCAAUCGUGGCAAGAAUCAUAAUGAACACAAUGUGCUAGGAAUUGGACGGGGAUAGCACUGUGAUCGAGUCCAUACCCUAGUUUGGCGAUGAACUUGCUACGACAGCAACGGCGGGGUUGAAUUCCGUCGACAGCGGCGGAGACCAGCGACUGGAGGCGGCUGGCGACGAAGUCAAUGAUCCGGAGACCUUGGAGGCAGAGCGAGCUAUGCACGGGCGAAGGGGUUUGGAGAAGUUUCCAAAUUUUUGCCCGUGUGUAUAUAUAGCCCGACCUUGUCGGUGUGACCGAGUGGAACAACUUGGUGGCAUCGAGAUGCGUAACUGUUGACAGUUGCAGCAACUCAGUGAGACAGAAAAGUUCAAAUCGAUUGCACCGAGACUGAAAACCUAGAUCGACUUAGUGAUCUCGGUAUGACCGAAAUGGAGGAAUCAUUCAGACCGAAACACACAAAGAAGUUUUUUAAGUUUAAGUCUAUGACGAAUCGGGGACUCCGAGUGCUCCUCACACAGAGUGGUUCAAAUCUGACUUGAUCAAAUUUUGUGAUGUAGCAUGAAUAGAGUUUGAGACAAGAAAAGCAUAGAUAGCUGGAGAAGGUUCUUAGGCAUUCUUGUUCAUCCACUUGGCAAAAGAAAAAGAAGGCAAUCAAUCAAAGCAACAAGUGGAUGUCCUCGAAUGAGUUAAAUAUGCAACCAACAUGCUCACACAAUAAAAUGGCAAAUGAAAAUGUGGCAAGGCAUGCACAACCAAUUCUAGCAUCUAUCAAAUAAUUGGCGAUGACUAGGUCAUCUAUAUAUGAGUAUAUUGACUUAGGAGUCAAAUGAGAACAUUUGAUCAUAGGUCAUACUCAUCGUUUAAGCUCAAGUGGGGUUACCACUUUUACAUAAUGCAUUAAUGUGUUCACAUCAUUAGAGUUGCUUUGACUCAAUUCUUAGAGUUAAGCUCCCCCUAGAUGUGACAUCCCCCCUUAGAGGGAUGAACUAACCUUGGGUUUUGUCGAUGAUGACUUCAUGUAGGUCUUGAAGAUGUGGAUGCUCAAUGUUGAUGAAGAUCAUUUGGAGCAAUCCUUUGGAGUGAGUUGCACUUUCAAUACCUACACGGGUUAGUCCCACAAGGAACAAAGAAGUAUAUCCAUAGACAUAGAGUGAUGCACACACAAGAUGAUGUCCAUGAAAGCAUUAGGUAACCUUGUCCCUUGUCUUACCAACAUGAGGGCUUGUGACUCCUUGAACUAGUGCAAGAUGUGGAAGUUGAUUGCACUUGUCCUUGCCAUAAUGAUAUGAGUGAAGAAUGUUGGUGGAGUCACCCUCAAGAACUCUCUAGUUCUUCUUCUUCGGGAUCCACAUCAUCUUGAUGGGAAUCCUUGGAGUUGUAGUCGUGCUUGAUGAAGUAGAACUUGACUUUGUCUUGGGAACCCACUUGACAAAGGCCUUAGGAGCUUCUUCAAAUCUCUUGAAGCUUGUCCUUGCCUUUGUGCUUGUGGUCUUGUGGUGGAAGAUCAUCUUGAGCUUGUGUCCCCUUGAAGGAAGUAGGAUCAUACUUCUCUUGUUGAGGAACAAACUUCGUCUUGGGGUAUUGAUCUUCUUCCCACUCAACUCCAUUGGCAUUGAACUUUCGUUCAAAACCAACACCUUGGUUCUCCGGGUGCCUUCCUUGCUUGCGUACAAUUUCCUCGAAUUGCUUACUCCCGGCAAGGCUCUUGUAUACACCUUUCUCUAUAAUUCCCUUCAAUAAGCUAUUUUCUUGCUCAAGUGUAACUUGGCUAAGAGAAUCAUUAGUGGAAUCAAGAGAACUACUAGAAGCAACAAUAUUGGAUUUAGCAUGAUUAUUGUUACUACUAGAGAAAGAAUCCUUCUUGUUUUUGUUACUAGACUUGAAUUGAGGCAUGUAAGUAGAUAAGAGUAAACGCUUGGCAAUGUAAGAAGAACUUUUCUUGCGAAGAUCAUCAUUGAUUGCUUUUAAGAACUCAUGCUCUUGCUCAAGAUUGAGCUUUUCAAAGCGUAACUUCUCAUGAGUCCUCAAAAGUUCUCGAUGAUUCCCUAAGAUAGUUUCAUGAGCUAACUUAAGAGUGUUUAGUUCUUUGGUAAGAAGCUCAAUCUUCUCCUUAUCAUUGUCAUUCGUUUUAUCUUGAUUAUCAUGAUUAAUAGACGUUUCAUCAUAGUAUUCAUCACUAGAGUUGUCAACAAGUAAAUCAUCAUCACAUAACAAGUCAUCUUCAUCACUAUUGAAAUCAACAUACUCGGGGUCUGUUACCUUAGGGCCUUUAGCCAUGAAGCAUCUCCCAAUUCCUUCAUUUGGUGAAUCAGAUAUGUCGUAGUAGUUGGUUGUCACAAGUGCUAGAUCGGCAACACCUUCAUCUUUAGUAUGUUCAGAGUCGGAGAGAUAGCUUCUCUCGGAGUGAUGUUCAGAGUCGGAACCGGAUACCCAUUCACCAAAUGAGCUUGAUGUCUUCAUUUUGUGUAGCUCUUUGAUGACUUGUCCUUCCUUUCUGAAUCCUUGCUUCUCCGGGAUGUUCUUCGUUCAUAACGAUCAUCUCUACUCCUUCUCUCUCUUGGCGGUGAUUCUUCUCUUCUACUUCUUCUCUUGGGAGAAUCUUCUCUUCUUUUGUAGGGUGUCGUACACUCAUUGGAAUAGUGUCCGGGUCUCCCACAAUUGUAGCAAUUGCGCUCUCGACUGGAAGAUCUUUUGUCAUUGUAGGACCUUGACUUGGAGCUUCUUUCUUUGCUUCUACUUUUGUAGAAUUUGUUGAAGUUCUUCACCAUUAAGCUCAAUUCUUCAUUGAAGGUUUGUUUCUCAUUUGAUGAUGUAGGAGCUUCACAUGAGGCUUUGUAAGCACCACUUGACUUGUUGUGAAGUUCCUCCUUAUCCUUGAGUGACAUCUCAUGAGCAACAAUUCUUCCAAUGACCUCCGUUGGCUUGAGAUUCUUGUAAUUAGGCAUCAUUUGGAUCAAUGUGCACACGGUAUCAUAUUUUCCAUCCAAUGCUCUUAGGAUCUUCUUGAUGAUGAAUUUGUUGGUCAUCUCUUCACUUCCUAAGCUAGCAAUCUCAUUUGUGAUAAGAGCAAGCCUAGAGUACAUUUCAGCGACACCUUCACCAUCCUUCAUUUUGAACUUGUCAAGUUGACUUUGGAGUACAUCCAAUUUGGAUUCCUUGACGGAGUCGGUACCUUCAUGCAUAUCAAUCAAAGUAUCCCAGAUUUCCUUUGCAUUCUCAAGACGGCUGAUUUUGUUGAAUUCUUCGGGGCACAAUCCGUUGAAGAGGAUAUCACAAGCUUGAGCGUUGUAUUGCAGCAUUUUCAAUUCAUCUGCACUAGCUUCACGGUUUGGUUCCCUCCCAUCAAAGAAUCACCUUGCAAGCCAUUACACACAAUAGCCCAAACGGCAGGGUUAUGUCCAAGAAUAUGCAUUUUCAUCUUAUGCUUCCAACUAGCAAAAUUAGUACCAUCAAAGUAAGGACCUCUACGGUGAUAAUUUCCCUCGCUAGAUGCCAUACUCUCCUAGGUUGUGAAACCAAGGCUAUGACCACCAAAAGCUAUGGAAAUCAAAGCAAAUGGAGACCAAAGCUCUGAUACCACUUGUAGGACCUUGAAGUACGUCUAGACGGGGGGUGAUUAGACUACUUGACCAAUAAAAAAACUUAACCUUUUCCCAAUUUUAGUCUUUGGCAGAUUUUAGCUAUCUUAGUACAAGUCAAGCAAUCUUCACACAAUUCAAGCAAGCAUGAAAAGAGUAUAUGAGCAGCGGAAAGUAGAGCAUGCAACUUGCUAGAAUGUAAGGGCAUGUACAAUGGUGCUAUCUUAGGAGUGCCAUGUAGGAUAAAUGAUGAGGUGGAGGAGAGAGAACUCAUAAGAAAAGGCUUGUCUUCUCUUAUUUAAGAUAAGACAAGAGAUGAUAUCUUAGCACAAUAUGUGUCACCACGUUUUUAGGAAUAACUAGUUAUGAAGAUAAGGCUAAGAAAUGACCCAUUGUAGACAUCUUUUUUUGUCAUCUCUUAAUUACAUGCAAGACUUAAGAUAAGACUAUUUUAUCAACCAUUGUACAUGCCCUAAAGGGAAGGGUUUGGAGAUUUCAAACACAAUUUGGAGACACGGUGAUUUUUGAGCCGUGGUUCCGAUAGGUGGUGCUAUCGUACAUCCACGUUGAUGGAGACUUCAACCCACGAAGGGUAACGGUUGCGCGAGUCCACGGAGGGCUCCACCCAUGAAGGGUCCACGAAGAAGCAACCUGUCUAUCCCACCAUGGUCAUCGCCCACGAAGGACUUGCCUCACUAGCGGUAGAUCUUCACGAAGUAGGCGAUCUCCUUGCCCUUACAAACUCCUUGGUUCAACUCCACAAUCUUGUCGGAGGCUCCCAAGUGACACCUAGCCAAUCUAGGAGACACCACUCUCCAAGAAGUAACAAAUGGUGUGUUGAUGAUGAACUCCUUGCUCUUGUGCUUCAAAUGAUAGUCUCCCCAACACUCAACUCUCUCUCACAGGAUUUGGAUCUGGUGGAAAGAAGAUUUGAGUGGAAAGCAACUUGGGGAAGGCUAGAGAUCAAGAUUCAUAAGGUAGGAAUGGAAUAUCUUGGCCUCAACACAUGAGUAGGUAGUUCUCCCUCAGAAAUGGUAAGUUUGAAGUGUAGGUUUCGUUUUGAUGGCUCUCUCCACGAAUGAAGAGGAGGUGGAGGGGUAUAUAUAGCCUCCACACAAAAUCUAACCGUUACACACAAUUUACCAAUCUCGGUGGGACCGAAUCAACAAACUCGGUCAGACCGAUUCAGUAAACCUAGUGACAGUUAGUGAUUUCGGUGGGACCGACAUGCAACUCGGUAGGACCGAUGUGGUUAAGGUUAGGGCAUAACGUAAUCUCGGUGAGACCGAUUACACAAACUCGGUGAGACCGAUUUUGGUAAUAAGCUAACCAGAGAGUUGGUCAGGUAAACUCGGUGGCACCGAUUCGCUCUUUUCAGUGAGACCGAAAAGUUAUGAAAGGGAAACAGAGAGUUUACAUUGCAAUCUCGGUGGGACCGAUCGCUCACUUCGGUUAGACUGAAACGUUAUGAAGGGAAACAGAGAGAUUAUAAUCCCAUCUCGGUGAGAUCGAGAUCCCUAUCGGUGAGACCGAUUUGCCUAGGGUUUGUGGUAGUGGCUAUGACAUCUGAACUCGGUGGCGCCGGAUAGAAAGAAUCGGUGGGGCUGAGUUUGACUUUAGGUUUAGGUCAUAUGUGGAUAUGAGAAAGUAGUUGAGGGUUUUUGGAGCAUAUCACUAAGCACUGCGGAGCAAGAAAAUCAUUAAGCAACACCUCAUCCCUCCUUGAUAGUAUUGGCUUUUCCUAUAGACUCAAUGUGAUCUUGGAUCACUAAAAUGUAAAAUGUAGAGUCUUGAGCUUUUGAGCUUGAGCCAAUCCUUUUAUCCUUAGUAUUUUGAGGGAUCCACUUUCCUCAUCCAUGCCAUGCCAUUCAUUGAGCUUUUCCUGAAAUAUUUGUCUUGGAAUAGUAUUAGCCCAAUGAGCUAUAUGUUGUUAAGAAUUACCAAAAUGACCUAGGGAUAGUUGCACUUUCAAUGAGAGGCGAGGGCCUUUGUGAUUUGACGGCUCAUUACUGCUGUCAAAUCAAAUAGUACAGCGCCGCCCGCUGCACGCCUGUCGCCUCCUUUAAACCGAGAAUCCUACUCCGGCCACACGUCCGUUCAUGAGCGGGCCGGAAUUAUAUGCAACACCGGCGUCCCAUCCGCCCUCAGUUUAAACGAGGCCAAAUGCCGGCCAACCUCCUACUUUUCGCCCUCUAUGUACACAAGGCCAGACAAACAGCGGGCAAGCAUCGCACCCUUCCGCUGCUCCCCCAUCUCCUCCUUCACCAUUUUCUCCACUCUUCCGAUGGCUUCCGAUGAGCCGUUCUCCGGCAUAUUACCUGGCUGGGUGCCCCUCCGAGCCCUCCGGAUACGGGCGAGGCCGCUCGGUGCUUCACUAACCUCGCUUGGCCCGACGGAGCCAGUUGCCGCCCCAAGUAGGUGCGUGGUUCAGCAACUCGCCGCUCCAGUUCAGCUCGAUGAGGAGUGGCGAGUUGCUCCACGCCGGCACGGCGGCGAGCAUGCCGGUACGGGCGCCGUCGCUGCCGCGUCGUACCGCGCCACCAGUGUCUGCGGUGGUCGCGCCUCCCGUGUCUGUGGGCGCGCCUCCCAUGCCUGCGGCAGCGCCAUGCAGGAAGAGACAGAAGCCGGGUGCGAGGAGAGUGACGAGUCAGUGGCCAGCUUCUCCGUGUCCGCCGCCAUCAUCGAGGAGAAGUAGAACACGGGAGGCCGCCGCCACUUGGGACCCAUGAAGGCCACCGCCGAGGCGACGACCGCGGAUUCAGGUGGUUUCUUUGCUGCUUCGUCUCUUCCGAGGACCUUCGUCGACCCCGCAAGUGUCUGACGGACAUGAGAAAGACAAAGGGAUCCGCGGGCGGCCAUUUAGAACUAAAAUAAGUCUAGAUACAUCCAUUUCUAGGACAAGUAUUUCCGGAUUGAGGGAGUAUUAAUUAUACAAGAGAGACGGAUUGGCACCUCUUAGUUCGUGUAAAUGUAAUGAAAUCCAUCAUGUUUAUAUGAAGAUCCAGCUUUUUAUACGAAAUCCUUCAUGCUUAUAUGAAAUCAGUCCGUGUUUGCACGAAUUUCAUAUGGUUGGUUAGAGUUGUAAAAAUGUAUGCCGCUGGCGUUUGAUGUCAUCCUCCGUGGAAGGAAGCGGGAGGAAAUUUGUCGGCUGCCGUUGGAGAUGCUCUUUAUGCUGGAAAUAAUAGAGCGACAUCCAAUCCAUUUGAGUUAAUUGCCUGUAUGAUUGUCCCUCUAUAAAAAGUUCAUUGCAUGUAUAGUGUACACGUGACUUGCAGGGUGGCUACAGCUUCGUACAGAAAGUUAAAAAGAAACAAGUCCAUCCUUAAUCUUGUAUUCUAAGUACUCUGUGGGUUCCACUGUCAGUACAGUAGAGAAAGAAGUAUAUAUUAAAUAAGUAGAGUAAUAUAUAAUAUAAAAAUCUAAAGUUAAAAUACAGAAUUCGAACUCAUGUCAUCGUGUUGCGAGCAUCCGACGCUAACCAGCCCAGGAUAUUUUUGUUGUAGACCAUGCUGGAGAUAUAUCUCCAUGUAUACUCUUAUAUAUACUCCAUUCGUUCCUAAAUAUUUGUCUUUUUCAGAUUUCAAAUGGACUACCACAUACGGAUGUGUAUGUAGACAUAUUUUAGAGUGUAGAUUCACUCAUUUUGCUCCGUAUGUCUUUUCGGGAAGGGGUCAGAUUUGUCCUUGAUUUAUUUAUGAGGUAUCCAGAUGGCACUGCACCGCCAAGAAAAGAGGGUAACAUCAAAAUUAUGGACUACUUUUUCGAGUAUGUUGGUAAGGUCCGGUCAUAGUCACUUGCUGAAAUCUCUAAAAAGACAAAUACUCCCUCCGUCCGGAAAUACUUGUCAUCAAAAUGGAUAAAAGGAAAUGUAUCUAGACAUAUUUUAGUUUUAGAUACAUCUCUUUUUAUCCAUUUUGAUGACAAGUAUUUUCGGACGGAGGGAGUAGGAAAGAGAGUUGGUGAUGAUGUUGUGCAUUCCAUCCUGCAAUAUAGGCCGUCGAAUUUAUAUCUAACGGAUAGGAAAGAAACUAUGGCAAUUUUGCAAAUACCCACACAUCUCUCCACGUUCGCAAAUAAGGCCUUCCCUCGUUCAGCAUUUUCUCUCACAAGAUAAACUACUCAUACAAAUGCAUCUUGAUGUUCCGUGCAAUGCACGGGUAGCUAGCUAAUUUCUUUUAAAAUAGUUGCUGCGAUAAUUCGGUUGAAGUGAUAUAUUUUAUGUCUACCCCGAAUGAUUUCAGAUUCACUAGUAGUAACAAAGAAAAGGUUGCCUUGUUAAUUAACAGAAAACAGGGUGAAAACUAUCACAUGAGGCCGGUAAAAACAAGGUACACUGGGUUCAGCGUCAUCGUCACUAUAGAUGUGCGCGCGCGAGAAGUCUACAUAUCGAGGGGGCUACCGAGCGAGGCACCGAGACACAAUGUUUGAGAGAGAAACCAAUUGACAGAUUAUGAUCAGAUCGAGUUGUCACCCUUCUGCUGUCAUUGUUGGGGGGGAGAAAGAUGUAUCGAGAGUGUGCACGGUAGGCACAGAGGCACAACUAGAGUGUGUGUGUGUGUGUGUGUGUGUGUGUGUGUUUGAAAGAGGAGUAGAUAGAUUAUUAUCAAGAUCGAUGUGCCACCCUACUCCUUCGGUGCCGGGUAGUGUGUGUGUGUGUAUGUUUGAGAUAGAAGCCAAUCAAUAGAUUAGUAUCAAGAUCGAGGUGUCACCCUACUCCUUCGGUGUUGGGAAGUGUGGGUGUGUGUGUGUGGGGGGGGGGCAGUGACACUCUCAUAUCUCUACUCUUAUAAAAAAGCAGAGUUGGUGAUGAUGGUGUUCCUGCCAUCCUGCAAUAUAGGCCAUCCGAUUUAUAUCCGACGGAUAGGAAGGAAACUAUGGCAAUUUUGCAAAAAGAUACCCACACCCCUCUCCGCAUUUGCAAAUAAGGCAUUCCGUCGUUCAUCCUUUUGUUUCACAAGAUAAACUUCUCAUACAAAUGCAUCUUGAUGUUCCGUGCAACGCAUGGGCAUCUUGCUAGUAGGGAGAAGGAGUUUGUGUGACACAUAUCUAGCUAUAUUAAGGGAUAGGUAGAUAGCAUAUGUGUGAGAGACAUUAUUAUACUUUGAGACAUUAGUGGUUGUGGGUGGGCGGAAUUAAAGGGGUGGGCGUGUUAGACAUAGAGAGCGUGUGUGUUUCUGUGUGAGAGACUUGUAGGACGGGGUAGAAAGACGAAUUUAACCUUGACGAAGGGAGAGAAAUACACGAAGUGCGCGUGUGUGAUUCCGAUGCCCACAGGGAAAUGAGAUAUGUGUGCGUGUGAGAGAGAUUGCACAAUUCAUUCACGUAUCACUAUCUAGCGAUCGUGGACGUGCAUCGCUUGAACAUAAGUCAAUAUCUACUUCGUAUCGUGGCCAAUGGUACAAUAUUGAUUCAACGCUAUAAAUAUUGGACACUCACAUAUCACAUUUUUUUCUAUUUAAAUAAACCUUUUCAGUUGUGCAUGCCAAAGUUAUAGUGAUGUUUCUUCAAACAACCAAUGUAGCUAUCAUGUACAUGCACCAUUGUUACUCUUGCAUUCAAACUCAUUAGUCUUGGAUGAUUUAAGUUUCUAUUUUGAAGUAAUUUAUGUAAUAUUCAUAUAUGAAUUCAACGGGUACGCAAUUUAUGAAAUGGAGGCUAUGUAAUAAUAUGAGGUAACACUUUUAAGUAGCUGACUACAAUAUCCAUUUAUUUUUGUGCGCCUCUACACUAACACGUCAAUGCAUUAUGUUUAAAGUAAAUAACCAAUGGCACUAAAUUAUCUAUUUACACGAGAAAUACAUAGGCUGAGCGUUUGAUCCCUUUUUUGUGAACGCGCCACUACACCCGUACGAUUGGCCGCGCCCGUGUGAACGUCCAAGUUAUCGACGCAUCAUCUCGAGUUAUUCUCUUUUUUUCUGGUGUGGACUUCGCACGAGUUAUUAACUACUGACGCGUGCCCUGUGUACACAGUCUAGCAUGACCUUCCCGCUAGCACGGUCCAAAAUUAGUUGAAACCAGAUACGAACGAUCCCGCGGGAGGCAAAAUCUCCCGCCUCCUUCUAAAAUUUCCGCCACCUUAGUCUUUAGCAUGCGAAAUCCCCCUUUUGUCCUUGGUGCACGGAGACCAACAGUUACAAUACCGCCCUCACCUACAUGAUAGGUCGGGGCUGCUUUGGUAACUUCCGGUUCCCCCCACUACACGGCACCCCCAUUUCCUCUCCCCUCCCGCAAAAACGACUAACUCCAUGGCACCAGAGCAUCUUACAUCACGCCGUCCGUACUUCAUCGCCCUUUCUCCCCUCCCCUCUCGAAACCAUAGACUGCUCAUCCAUCGGCGUACCAUAGCCCAUUCACUGCCAGCGGCGUCCACCUCGUCGGAUCUGCUUCUGCAGCUGCAUCAACCCCUCCCACCUCCCCUAGAAACAAGUACACUGCUCAUCCAUCACUGUACCACAGUCCAUUCAGUGCCGACCUUGUCCACGGCGCCGGAUCUGCUUCGCCGGUACUCUCGUCAACCGCCGCGCAUCUGCAUCGGCUCAUUCGUACUCCCCACCGGAGACGCUUCGUCCACACCCCCCGGAGCCUCCCCACUGACGCCCUCAUCGACGGCCUCUGAUCCUCUUCGCCGAUGAUAACCCACAAGUAUAGGGGAUCGCAAUAGUUUUCGAGGGUAGAGUAUUCAACCCAAAUUUAUUGAUUCGACACAAGGGGAGCCAAAGAAUAUUCUCAAGUAUUAGCAGCUGAGUUGUCAAUUCAACCACACCUGGAAACUUAGUAUCUGCAGCAAAGUGUUUAGUAGGAAAUUAAUAUGAUAGUGGUAGUAACGGUAACAAAAGUAAAUACAGCAAAAGUAAUGUUUUUGGUAUUUUGUAGUGAUUGUAACAGUAACAACGAAAAAGUAAAUAAGCGAGAACUAGUAUAUGGAAAACUCGUAGGCACCGGAUCAGUGAUGGAUAAUUAUGCCGGGUGUGGUUCAUCAUGUAACAGUCAUAACAUAGGGUGACACAGAAUUAGCUCCAGUUCAUCAAUGCAAUGUAGGCAUGUAUUCCGAGUAUAGUCAUACGUGCUUAUGGGAAACAACUUGCAUGGCAUCUUUUGUCCUACCCUCUCGUGGCAGCGGGGUCCUAUUGAAAACUAAGGGAUAUUAAGGCCUCCUUUUAAUAGAGAAUCGGAACAAAGCAUUAGCACAUACUGAAUACAUGAACUCCUCAAACUAUGGUCAUCACCGGGAGUGGUUCCAAUUAUUGUCACUUCGGGGUUGCCGGAUCAUAACACAUUGUAGGUGACUAUAGACUUGCAAGAUAGGAUCAAGAACACACAUAUAUUCAUGAAAACAUAAUAGGUUCAGAUCUGAAAUCAUGGCACUCGGGCCCUAGAGACAAGCAUUAAGCAUAGCAAAGUCAUAACAACAUCAAUCUCAGAACAUAGUGGAUACUAGGGAUCAAACCCUAACAAAACUAACUCGAUUACAUGAUAAAUCUCAUCCAAUCCAUCACCGUCCAGCAAGCCUAGGAUGGAAUUACUCGCGCACGGCGGUGAGCAUCAUGAAAUUGGUGAUGGAGGAUGGUUGAUGAUGACGACGGCGACGAAUCCCCCUCUCCGGAGCCCUGAACGGACUCCAGAUCAGCCCUCCCGAGAGAGAUUAGGGCUUGGCGGCGGCUCCAUAUCGUAAAACGCGAUGAUUUCUUCUCUCUGAUUUUUUCUCCCCGAAAGCCAAUAUAUGGAGUUGGAGUUGGUGUCGGAGGGCCACCAGGGGGCCCACGAGGUAGGGGGCGCGCCCUAGGGGGGGGCGCCCCCCACCCUCAUGGACAGGGUGUGGCCCCCCUGGUCUUCAUCUUUGGCGAAGAUUUUUUAUUGUUUUUUCUAAGGUGUUCCGUGGAGUUUCAGGUCAUUCCGAGAACUUUUAUUUUCUGCACAUAAAACAGCAUCAUGGCAAUUCUGCUGAAAAAAGCGUCAGUCCGGGUUAGUUCCAUUCAAAUCAUACAAGUUAGAGUCCAAAACAAGGGCAAAAGUGUUUGGAAAAGUAGAUACGACGGAGAUGUAUCAACUCCCCCAAGCUUAAACCCUUGCUUGUCCUCAAGCAAUUCAGUUGACAGACUGAAAGAGAAAAAGAAAAACUUUUACAAACUAUGUUUGCUCUUGUUGUUGUAACAUGAAAAGCCAGCAUUCAAGUUUCGGCAAAUAUUAUGAAUUAACCAUACUAACAAUAACACAAAGGUCUCACAAUUACUCAUACCAAUAGCAUAAUCAGCUAGCGAGCCAUAAUAAUAAAUCUCGGAUGACAACACUUUCUCAAAAUAAUCAUAUCAUGAUAUAACGAAAUGGUAUCUCGCUAGCCCUUUCUGAGACCGUAAAACAUAAAUGCAGAGCACCUUCAAAGAUCAAGGACUGACUAAACAUUGUAAUUCAUGGUAAAAGAGAUCCAGUCAAGUCAUACCCAAUGUAAACCAAUUAUAAUGAAUGCAAACAAUAGUGUGCUCUCCAGCGGGUGCUUUUUAAUAAGAAGGGUGAUGACUCAACAUAAAAGUAAAUAGAUGGGUCUUUUACAUCUGUGUCCCUAACUCGAACCCACUACUCACAUUUGCCCCUAAUUCGAAAGCCUGCUCAAAAAUGCCCCUCCGUCAUCAUGUUCCCUUAUAGAAUUGCCCUUCCGUGCCGUUUCCGUCCAGUCAAGGCUGUUUGACUAGUAAGCGGCCGUUUCUUUGACAUUUUUGCCCCUUCGUCCUUACAACUGGGCCCAGGUCACCGGUUCACUCUCUCUCCAUCUCAUUAUCUCGCCCGAGCCACACCCUCUCUCUUUCUCCCCCAAAUCGCCUCCCCCCGUAACCCUAACCCUAGCUCGCUCGAUCCGAUCGAUCCCAACUCCUAAGGCUCGAUCUACUGAUGGCAGCCAUGGUGGAGCUUCGGAUUAGACUCUGUGUCGCUCUGCUACGGCGUGAAAGAGACACGAGCGACAGGAUGGAUGGGGACAGCAGUUGCGGCGGCGACGAACGAGGGAGCACACUGCAGCUACAGACGAAUGCUUCGGCGGGGUAAGUAUCUCUUGUAAUCUGAUGCAGUCUCAUGCCAUUUGUAGUUCGAUUUGUUCUUGUAGUUUAAUUUGUUGACCUAGUUCAUAGUGCUCAUGGCGUUGGGAUCUGUCUGUUUUCCAUGCUCAUCGUAGGAUGGACCCCGAUAGAGCAGUUGGGAUGGAUUGUAGAAUGGAAACCACACUUCUAGCUAGUGCUCGCACAAAAGCAUCCAACACAGGAUUCUCUUUUCCUUUUGUUGCUGACAAUCAAUGGACUUUCAAUCAGUUUAGAUCUGCCAUAGAUGCUAAAUAUCCAUGGGGUCUAUACGAUGCAGUGGAAUUCAGGUACUGGGACAUUGACAAAUCAGCAUGGGUCCCUGUCCAGUGUGAUGAUGAGCUUGGUAUCAUGUUUGUAAUACAUGAUUCUUUCCCUGCUAAACUAGAAAUCAGUGUCAUACAAAGGGAGAGAGGAGAGCCAGAGAGCGGAGGAACAAGAUCUCGGUCUAGGUCUACAGGUAAAGGUAGAACUAGCCAAUCAAGGGGCAAAAAAGCAACAACUCAUAGUGGAGGCAACAGUUCCAUGCAGGCACCAGGAACACCUACUGUAGAAGUUCCUAGGCAUGCAGCUCCCUCUCAUAAUAAAGAUUCAGGUGACCCAUACACUGAAGAGGGACUACCAGAUGAUUGGCCAAGUGAUGAUGAGGAUGAAAGGUUGUUUCCAUAGUUUGUAACGAGGAAGAAGGGCAAGGAGAAAGAUGAUGAGGGGGAAGAUUAUGUUCCACCCCCUGAAGGCAUGUUUGGUGAGGCAGGUGAAGAUGAGAAAGAGGAGGACAAUUACAUGGGGUACUCUGAAACAUCUGAUGAGGAAAGACCAGAUGUGCAAUACAAUAGAGAUGAUCCUUCUUUGAAAGAGGGAACAAUAUUUUCCAGUGCCAUAGACUGUAGAAAUGCCCUUGCAACCUUCUCAAUAAAGACUCAAAGUGAAUUUGUGAUAGACAAGAGUGACAGUAAUAGGUUGACAGUGCAUUGUGCUUAUAAGAGGUGUCAAUAGAGGAUGCAUGCCUCCUUAAUGAGACACAACACACUGUUUCAGGUAUUAAAUAUAGCAACUAACAAUGCAUUUGUAGUUAGCAGCAUUGAUACUGUAUUUUGUUUGUUUGUUGCAACACAUUGGUUCUGACAUGUUUCUGAACUAUCAUGAAUGCAGGUUAAAGUGAACAAGACAGCUCAUACAUGUCCCAGUGUGAACAAGAGGAAGAGAUUGAGGUCAGCUAAGAGUAAAUGGGUUGCUGAUGCUGUGAAGACCUGGAUUUUAGAGGAUUCAGAAGUGGGACCAACAGAAUUGCAGAAAAAUUUGAAGAAGAAGUAUGGCCUGGCAGUUCCAUAUAUGAGAGUAUUCUAUGGGAAGCAAAUGGCACUUGACAAUAUCUAUGGUAAGUGGGUUGACUCUUUUCAGUUAUUGUAUACCUUCAAGGCAGAAGUGGAGAAAGCAUCUCCUGGCAGUGUAGUUAGCAUUGAUAAACACAUUGUACAGUACAAACUAAAUGGGAAGAGUAGACAGAAGGAGUGCUUUAGAAGAGUAUUUGUUUCUUUCAAAGCAUGCUGGCAAGGGUUUUUGAAUGGGUGUAGGCCUUAUCUUGCAGUAGAUGCCACUGCAUUGAAUGGCAGAUUUAGAGGGCAACUAGUUAGUGCAUGUGUUGUGGAUGCUUGCAACUGGAUCUUCCUAGUUGCAUAUGGAGUUGUAGAGAGUGAAAAUAUAGAGAGUUGGACUUGGUUUUUCCAGAAUUUAAGAGAGCUUAUAGGACAUCCACCAGGUCUUGUUAUCCACACUGAUGCAUGCAAAGGCCUGGAGACUGCAGUGGAAGCUGUGUUCCCAGGUGUGGAGCACAGAGAAUGCAUGAGGCAUUUGGCUGCAAAUUUCACAAAAAAGUUUAGAGGAAAAUUCUUUGAUGAAAAUUUAUGGCCCUGCUCAUUGACAUACAGCAUAAAGAAACACAACUACCAUCUUAGGCAGUUGCACAGUAAGGCUGGUGUGAAAGAGUACUUAGAGGAGCAUCACACCAAGCUAUGGGCAAGGUCACUGUUCAAUGAAGUGUGCAAAAUAGAUUUUGUUAAUAACAAUCUAGCUGAGUCCUUCAAUUCAAAGAUUAGAAAAUGGAAGGGUGUACACAUUGUGGACUUGCUAGACAAAAUAAGACAAUUUAUAAUGGAAAAGUUUGAUCUCAGACAGCAGAUUGCAGCUGCUACAUUCAUUGGCCACAUCAUAAUCCCCAAAGUCAUGAAAAUGCUUCAUGCAAAAUCUAAGGACCUUGAUAUGGAGAUAGUGAAAAGAAGCACAUAUGAGGCAGAGAUUACAGCAGUUGACAAGGAAAAGAGAGAGUGGAGAUAUCCAGUAAAUUUGGAAAGUAGGAAUUGCAGUUGUAGUAAGUGGCAGUUAACUGGACAGCCUUGCAUACAUGCUUUGUAUUUUAUUACUUCAAUGAGAGGCCCAGUAAGUGAGAUUGAUCAGUAUGUACAUGAGUACUUUUCUGUUGCUAGGUUCAAUGCUACUUAUGCUGAAAAUUUGCCUGCAAUGAAGGGCAAACAACAGUGGGAUGUGGUGGACCCUGGGUUUAAAUUGUCUGCUCCAUUGCAAAACAGGGCCCCUGGUAGACCUAGGAAGACAAGAAUUAGGGCAAAAUCUGAGGGAAAAGGACUUGGAGGAAGGAGAAAGAAAUGUGGCAGGUGUGGAAGGCUUGGGCAUCAUGCCACUCACUGCAAGGAAUCCAUUGACCCAGCUUUUGGGGAAGAAGAGCACUGGGGGGCUGAAAAUGCAACAGAUGAACCUCUAGAUGCUAAAACUGAUGCUGAAAAUGCUACAGAGGUGGAAACUGAUGCUGAAAAUGCUACAGAGGUGGAAAUUUAUCCCGAAAAUGCUAAAGAGGUUGAACCUGAUGCUGGCAUUGCUACAGAUGCACCAACAGUGUCAUCAGCUGUAAGGUGAAAAUGCUACAGAUGUUCUCAUUUCAAUUUUUGCAUCAUUUAAUGUUCUAAUUUCCUUUUUUGCUUCAUUUAAUGUUCUAAUUUCCUUUUUGCUUCAUUUAAUGUUCUCAUUUCAAUUGUAGCCCAAGAAAGAACUACAAAAAGGCAACUGAGAGAGGGAUGUCACCAGCCAAGAAGAGGCUCAAGUAUGCACCAGAUCCUACAAUAGGAUCUGUAACUCGAAGCAACCAGCUAAGCAAAGAAGUGAGCAAAACUAUCACCACAAGGUGGAGUUCAAGGCUCUUAACUAACCCUGCUUGCAACACCAGGAGCAAGAAGAUGAAAGAUCUGUGAACUUGUUAGCUGCUAUGUUAAGUGUGUUGUUUUUGUUGUUUAAGAACUAUUUGUGAACUUGUUAGCUGUUAUUGCUGCUGAAAUUAUGAACUUAUGUAAUGCUGAACUUGUGAGAUGCUAUCUUGAAUGUGCAAUGCUAUUAUGAAGUUAUGCUAUUUGUGAGAUGCUAUCUUCUGAGCUGCUACUUUUAAAUAUUUUGUGAGCAGCUAGUUUUAACACAACAGAUCAUUUGGUCAGCUGCUAGUUUCAUUUGAGUUGCUACUUUCAAAAUGCCAUGCAAGAUUCUUCAGUCAUUUCCAAAUAGAAAUAUCACAUCAUUCCCAAAUCACAACAUAGCUCCAUCAAAGCAUACACUACAAACAGAAAUCCAUUUAGUAUGGAUUAUUAGACCACCUAGAAACAAAUGUGGCCAACAUGCUAAAACCAAGAACUAUGAUAAAUCCCCAGGCUUGCAUAACCUCGUUCCUCUUCUUCAUCUUUAGCUUCAGUUUCUUGUUCUUCUCGGUUAGAUACAUCACCCUCCUCUCUAAAUAAUGAGCUUUUAGCCAGCUCUUCUCCAAUCCUGCAUGAAGCUCCUCAAAUGCACGACCAACACAUUCGGUCGAUGGCGGGUCAAUCCAGACAACCCAAUCACAUUCGUCAGGAAGCUGCAAAAUCAAUGAUCGAAUUAGAAAGAGGAGAAAGAGCAGAAUCAAGUCAAGCAUUCAAAAGGCAAAACACUUACAUCAAGAGGGCAGCCGAGAAACCUUCUGCCGGAGCUUGCUCCUCCCCAGGCGACACGACAAGCAGGAAUAAGCCCGUGGCCAGGGCACCACCACGACGACCGAACCUCAAGGCCACAGAAUGUCAGAUCGGGGAUGUAGAACUCCGAUUGAAACUGAACUAUCCCGACGCCAUCAACCUAUCAGCAAAGGGCAACCCAAAUUGAUGAACCCUAAUUCCGCAAUAUCACCCAAAUCGACCCUGAAACUUACAUUGGCGGCCACCAACGAGGUCGUAGAAGACAUGCCCGCCGUGCCCGACGUACCCAUCGCUCACCACGCCAUGCCCCUGCCCCUCUCUCUUCGACCGCGGCGGAAACGCCCGAUCCAGUUCUUGCUCAAAAAUGCCCCUGUCGUCGCGAGGAAGAAGAAAGAGGGGAGAGAGAGUGAACCGGUUAGUUGGGCCCAGAUGUAAGGAAGGAGGGGCAAAAAUGUCAAAUAAACGACACGUUAGCGGUCAAACAGCCUUCACUGGACGGAAACGGCUUGGAGGGGCAUUUCUAUAAGGGCACAUGACGGCGGAGGGGCAUUUUUGAGCAGGCUUUGGAAUUAGGGGUAUAUCUGAUUAGGUGGUUCGAGUUAGGGACAUAAAUGCAAAUGGCCCUAAAUAGAUAGGCCCUUCGCAGAGGGAAGCAGGGACUUGUAGAGGUGCCAGAGCUCGGUUUUUAAAAUGGAGAUUGAAUAACAUUUUGCGCGGAAUACUUUUGCUGUCAACGCAACAACUAUGAGAUGACGAUAUCUUCCAUGCUAAACAAAUUAAAGGCGGUUCCCAAACGGAAUGGUAAAGUUUAUACUCCCCAUCCUCCAUAGGCAUCAAUCCAUGGCUUGCUCGAAACAACGAGUGCCUCCAACAUUCAACGGGUCCCAGGGGGAGUUUUGUUUGCAAUUAUUUUGAGUUAGUUUGCAUAAAGCAUGGGACUGGGCAUCCCGGUGACCUGCCAUUUUCUCGUGAAUGAGGAGAGGAGUCCACUCCUCUUGAGAAUAACCGCCUAACAUGGAAGAUAAGGACAUCCCUAGUUGAAACAUGAGCUGCUCGAGCAUACAGAACAUAAUUUCAUUUGAAGGUUUGGAGUUUGGCACAUACAAAUUUACUUGGAACGGAAGGUAAAUACCGCAUAUAGGAAGGUAUAGUGGACUCAUAUGGAACAACUUUGGGGUUUAAGGAGUUUGAAUGCACAAGCAGUAUUCCCGCUUAGUACAGGUGAAGGCUAGCAAAAGACUGGGAAGCGACCAACUGGGAGAGCGACAACAGUCAUAAGCAUACUUAAAAUUAAUUCACACCAAGUAUAAGCAUGAGUAGGAUAUAAUCCACCAUGAACAUAAAUAUCAUGAAGGCUGCGUCGAUUUGAUUCAACUACAUGCGUGAACAUGUGCCAAGUCGAGUCACUCAAUUCAUUUAAAGGAGGAUACCAUCCCAUCAUACCACAUCAUAAUCAUUUAAAGGAGGAUACCAUCCCAUCAUACCACAUCAUAAUCAUUCUAAUAGCAUGUUGGCACACAAGGUAAACCAUUAUAACUCAUAACUAAUCAAGCAUGGCACAAGCAACUAUAAUCUCUAAAUGUCAUUGCAAAUAUGCUUACUUCAUAAUAGCUAACUUAGGAACGAUGAAUCAUCAUAUUUACAAAAACAAGAGAGGUCGAGUUCAUACCAGCUUUUCUCAUCCCAAUAAGUCCAUCGUAUAUCAUCAUUAUUGCCUUUCACUUGCACAACCGAACGAUGUGAAUAAUAAUAGGAGUGCACAUGCAUUGGACUAAGAUGGAAUCUGCAAGCAUUCAAUAAACAGGAGAAGACAAGUAAUAUGGGCUCUAAGUUAGAUAAACAAUCAUGCAUAUAAGAGCCACUUCAACAAUUUAAUCAUGGUCUUCUCCUACUCACCCCCAAAGAAAAGAAAGAAAAGUAAAAACCUAUUUACACGGGAAAGCUCCCAACAAGCAAAAGAAGAACGGGAAAUAUUUUUGGGUUUUCUUUUUUUAGUCCUGCAACAAAGAAAUAAACUACUACUAUUUUUUUCUUAAGGUUUAUUAAACACACAAGUAGAAAGCAGGAAAAAGAAAAUAAUCUAGCAUGGAUAUUACAGUGAAAAAGUAUGAACACCGACAUCUAGCAAUGAGUGUGUGUGAACAUGAAUGUAAUGUCAGUGGGAAAUACGAACUCCCCCAAGCUUAGGCUUUUCGCCUAUGUUGGACUAUCGCCAAGGAUGGCCUGGCGGAUACCCGUAGGUGCAGCUGGGGUCAUACUGUGACGAAGAAGGCUCCGGCUGCCACUGGCUAACAACCUCCUCUGGAUCCCAAGAAUAAACAGAUAGUCGUGGAGGCUCAUCUUGUGGCUCCGGUUCUGGGGCAGGUGCAGGAUUUCGAUAGGCUCGAAUGGCCGCCCACGAAAUGAUGUGAGGACCUGCAAACAAGUUGAACAAAGAGGGAGCAGGCAAAGUAAUAGUCUCAGGGUGAUGUUUAUCAAAGUACAAUUUAUAUUUGAGCUCCCCUUCGCGACUUUUAACAAGAAAGUCAUGCGCUAUCAUACUCUUAUAAUCUAAAUAAGCACGGGGCAGCGCCAUUUCUUCUUUCUCCUCAUGCCUAAUAGGUAUUUCAAAAUGUUCAGCUAGGCGUGAAGCAUAAAUGCCUCCAAAGAUGGGGCCCUUAGGACGGUUCAGACUUAACCGUGUAGCAACAAUUCCACCCAUACUAACAGAGUUAUUGCGGUAUAAACCAUGGAACAAAAUGAUAACAUCAGGAACACUAAGGUUUCCACAGUUUCCGCGACCUAUCAAGCAACGACUAGCAAAUAAGGCGAAGUAGCGUAAAACAGGAAAAUGUAUGCUAGUGAUUCUUGCAUCAGAAACCUUCCUGGUUUCUCCCACCAUGAUAGUGUUAAUAAAAGCUUCUACUUCGUUACGGUGUGGUUCAUCCAAGGUGCCCUCAAAAGGUAUUUUGCAAACCUCACAAAAUUCAGCUAAUGGCAUCCUCUUAACAACGUCAUAUAAAUGAAAUUCUACCGAUGGAGGUGAAUUCUUAGGGAAGAAGUAGAAAUUUUGCACAAAAGUAUUUGUCAGUAAGAGAUACUGAUGACGUUGGUCGCGGAGGAAGUCGGUGAGGCCAGCAUUCUCAAUUAAUAAAUAAAAAUCUUCAUAAAUCCCGGCUCUCCUCAAGAAGUCAUCGGAAGACCAUUCACAUGGCCGGACCUCCGCGGUGCGAGGCAAAUUAAAUUUGGGCUUCUGCUCUUCUUCCUUUUGUUUUUCCUUCGAGCUUUGGCUUGACGAGCCACUCAAAAGUCUCUUCAUUAUUUCUGAAACAAUCUGAAAUUUUUAGUAACUUCAAAUAAAACUGAACCAACUUCGAUAAAAUUGAUAGCAACUACUCCCACGAGUGCCUAGAGCCUAAAUCAAGCAUUAGAACUACUUGGGACCAUAUGAAUUUGACAUGCAAGCUCAAGAACAUGGUCACCUAUGCAACAUAAAUUUGCAAUGAAUAAAGCACUAGGACAAGAACUAAUUGGACCAAUGGAGGAGUCACAUACCAAGGAACAAUCUCCCCAAGCAGUUUUGCGAGAGGUGCUUUGAGCAAGGAGAUCAAAAAUCACAGCAACCGGGGCUGGAACUCGUGCUUGAGUUGGUUUUUCGUGUUUGUGUGAGGCAGAGGAAGAAGAUGGGUGCAGGGAUAAGUGGAGGAGGGCCACCAUGGGCCCACGAGGCAGGAGGGCGCGCCCAGGGGGGUAGGGCGCGCCCUCCACCCUCGUGACCAGGUGGCAGCUCCCCCCGCGGUGAUUUUUGCACAGUAAAUUCUUAAAUAUUCCUGAAAAAAUCAUAUUAAAUUGGCAUGGCAUUCUGAGGACUUUAAUUUUCAGGAUGUUUUUUUAUUGCACGGAUAAGUCGGGAAACAGACAGAAAAAAUAUUAUUUUACUUUAUUUCUACUAGAUAACAGAAAAUAUAAAGAGGGUAUAGAAGGUUGUGCUUCUAGUUUCAUCCAUCUCAUGCUCAUCAAAAAGAAUCCACUAACAAGGUUGAUCAAGUCUUGUUAACAAACUCAUUCCGAUUAACAUGGAACCGGAGAAAUUUCGAGUACCACUAUGUUACCUCAACAGGGAUAUGGACAUCCCCAAUAAUAAGUAUAUCAUACUUUUUCUUGGCGGUAGGGAGAGGAAAUUCAAAACCUCCAAAUAUAAUCGAUGGAAUUUUUCCAAUAGAAUUGAUACUACAAACCUGAGGUUGUUUCCUCGGAAAGUGUACCGUGUGCUCAUUGCCAUUAACAUGAAAAGUGAUAUUGCCUUUGUUGCAAUCAAUAACAGCCCCUGCAGUAUUAGGAAAAGAUCUUCCAAGAAUAAUAGACAUACUAUCAUCCUCGGGAAUAUCAAGAAUAACAAAGUCCGUUGGAAUAGUAACGUUUGCAACCACAAUAGGCACAUCUUCACAAAUACCGACAGGUAUAGCAGUUGAUUUAUCAGCCAUUUGCAAAGAUAUUUCAGUAGGUGUCAACUUAUUCAAGUCAAGUCUACGAUGUAAAGAGAGAGGCAUAACACUAACACCGGCUCCAAGAUCACAUAAAGCAGUUUUAACAUAAUUUCUCUUACUGGAGCAUGGUAUAGUAGGUACUCCGGGGUCUCCAAGUUUCUUUGGUAUUCCACCCUUAAAAGUAUAAUUAGCAAGCAUGGUGGAAAUUUCAGCUUCAGGUAUCUUUCUUUUAUUAGUAAUAAUAUCCUUCAUAUACUUAGCAUAAGGAUUUGUUUUGAGCACAUCAGUUAAUCGCAUAUGCAAAAAGAUGGGUCUAAUCAUUUUAGCAAAGUGCUCAAAAUCCUCAUCAUCCUUUUUCUUAGAUGGUUUCGGAGGAAAAGGCAUGGGUUUCUGAACCCAUGGUUCCCUUUCUUUACCAUGUUUCCUAGCAACGAAGUCUCUUUUAUCAUAAGUUGAUUCCUUGAUUGUGGGUUAUCAAGAUCAACAGCAGGUUCAGCUUCUACAUCAUUAUCAUUACUAGGUUGAGCAUUAUCAUGAACAUCAUCAUUAACAUUUUCACUAGGUUCAUGUUCAUCACCAGAUUGUGUUUCAGCAUCAGACAUAGAGAUAUCAUUUGGAUUCUCAGGUGACUCAGCAAUAGGUUCACUAGAAGUUUGCAAAGUCCUAUCAUUUUUCUUUUUCUUCCUUUUAGAAGAACUAGGUACAUCAAUAUCAUUUCUCUGAGAAUCUUGCUCGGUUCUCUUAGGGUGGCCUUCAGGAUACAAAGGUUCCUGAGUCAUUCGACCAGUUCUAGUAGCCACUCUAACAGCAUAAUCAUUUUUCUUACUAUUCAUUUCAUCAAGCACUUCUUUUUGAGCUUUAAGUACUUGUUCUACUUGAGUGGUAACCAUAGAAGCAUGUUUGCUAACAAGUUUAAGUUCACCUCUAAUACCCGACAUAUAAUCACCCAAGUGUUUAAUCAUAUAAGCAUCUUGCUUUAAUUGUCUACCAAAAUAAGCAUUAAAGUCAUCUUGCUUAAACAUAAAGUUAUCAAACUCAUCCAAGCACUGACUAGCAAUUUUAGUAGGAGGGACUUCAGCUUUAUCAUAUCUAUAGAGAGAAUUUACCUUUACUACCUGUGUCGGGAUAUCGGGAGGUUCUUGAGUAAAUAAGUAAUUUAGAUCAUAUACUUCUUCAACAGGCGGUAAAUUAAGACCGUGUAUUUCUUCAAUAGGAGGUAAAUUCUUAACAUCUUCAGCUUUAAUACCUUUUCCUUUCAUAGAUUUCUUUGCCUCUUGCAUAUCUUCGGGGCUGAGAAAUAGAACACCUCUCUUCUUCGGAGUUGGUUUAGGAAUAGGCUCAAUAAUUGGCUCAGAAAUUGGCUCAGGAGCUGGCUCAGGAGGUUCCCAAUUAUUUUCAUUGUCAACAUAUUAUUCAAUAGAAUUUCAGCUUCAUCCGGUGUUUUUUCCCUGAAAAGAGAACCAGCACAACUAUCCAGGUAAUCUCUGGAAGCAUCGGUUAGUCCAUUAUAAAAGAUAUCGAGUAUUUCAGGUUUCUUAAGAGGAUGAUCAGGCAAAGCAUUAAGUAACUUGAGAAGCCUCCCCCAAGCUUGUGGGAGACUCUCUUCUUCAAUUUGCACGAAGUUGUAUAUUUCCCUCAAAGCAGCUUGUUUCUUAUGAGUAGGGAAAUAUUUAGUAGAGAAGUAAUAGAUCAUAUCCUGGGGACUUUGCACACAACCAGGAUCAAGAGAAUUAAACCAUAUCUUAGCAUCACCCUUUAAUGAGAAUGGAAAUAUUUUGAGUAAAUAAAGGUAGCGCGAUCUCUCAUUAUUGGUAAACAGGGCGGCUAUAUCAUUUAACUUAGUAAGAUGUGCCACAACGGUUUCAGAUUCAUAGCCAUAGAAAGGAUCAGAUUCAACCAAAGUAAUUAUAUCUGGAUCAACAGAAAAAUCAUAAUAAUCCUUAUCGGGAACACAAAUAGGUGAAGUAGCAAAAGUAGGGUCGGGUCUCAUUCUAUCUCUAAAAGAUUCUUUACUCCAUUUAACUAGCAACCUCUUAAGUUCAUAUCUAUCCUGGCAAGCAAAAAUAGCUGCAGAAGAUUCCGCAUCAAAAAGAUAACCCUCGGGAAUAGCAGGCAUAUUUUCAUCAUCACUAUCAUCAUCGUAUUCAGGUGCAAUAAUUUCUCUUUAUCUAGACCUAGCAAUUUGCUCAUCGAGAAAUUUACCAAGGGGUACAGUAUUAUCAAGCACAGAAGUGGUUUCAUCAUAAGUGUCAUGCAUAGCAGAAGUGGCAUCAUCAAUAAUAUGCGACAUAUCAGAAUUCAUAGCAGUAGCAGGUUUAGGUGUCGCAAGCUUAUUUAUAACAGAAGGAGAAUAUAGUGCAGAGCUAGAUGGCAUGUCCUUACCUCCCCUCGUAGUUGAGGGCAAAAUAGUAGUUCGAUCAUCUUUCAAGUUCUUCAUAGUGUCCAGCAGAUAUAAAUCCCAAGUGACUCAAAGAAUAGAGCUAUGCUCCCCAGCAACGGCACCAGAAAAAGGUCUUGAUAACCCACAAGUAUAGGAGAUCGCAACAGUUUUCGAGGGUAGAGUAUUCAACCCAAAUUUAUUAAUUCGACACAAGGGGAGCCAAAGAAUAUUCUCACGUAUUAGCAGCUGAGUUGUCAAUUCAACCACACGUGGAAACUUAGUAUCUGCAGCAAAGUGUUUAGUAGCAAAGUAAUAUGAUAGUGGUAGUAAUGGUAACAAAAGUAAAGACAACAAAAGUAAUGUUUUUGGUAUUUUGUAGUGAUUGUAACAGUAACAACGGAAAAGUAAAUAAGCGAGAACCAGUAUAUGGAAAACUCGUAGGCACCAGAUCAGUGAUGGAUAAUUAUGCCGGAUGUGGUUCAUCAUGUAACAGUCAUAACAUAGGGUGACACAGAACUAGCUCUAGUUCAUCAAUGUAAUGUAGGCAUGUAUUCCGAAUAUAGUCAUACGUGCUUAUGGGAAAGAACUUGCAUGACAUGUUUUGUCCUACCCUCCCGUGGCAGCGGGGUCCUAUUGGAAACUAAGGGAUAUUAAGGCCACCUUUUAAUAGAGAACCGGAACAAAGCAUUAGCACAUAGUGAAUACAUGAACUCCUCAAACUAUGGUCAUCACCGGGAGUGGUUCCGAUUAUUGUCACUUCGGGGUUGCCGGAUCAUAACACAUAGUAGGUGACUAUAGACUUGCAAGAUAGGAUCAAGAACACACAUAUAUUCAUGAAAACAUAAUAGGUUCAGAUCUGAAAUCAUGGCACUCGGGCCCUAGUGACAAGCAUUAAGCAUAGCAAAGUCAUAACAAUAUCAAUCUUAGAACAUAGUGGAUACUAGGGAUCAAACCCUAACAAAACUAACUCGAUUACAUGAUAAAUCUCAUCCAACCCAUCACCGUCCAGCAAGCCUAUGAUGGAAUUACUCACGCACGGCGGUGAGCAUCAUGAAAUUGGUGAUGGAGGAUGGUUGAUGAUGACGACGGCGACGAAUCCCCCUCUCUGGAGCCCCGAACGGACUCCAGAUCAGCCCUCCCGAGAGAGAUUAGGGCUUGGCGGCGGCUCCGUAUCGUAAAACGCGAUGAUUUCUUCUCUCCGAUUUUUUUCUCCCCGAAAGCCAAUAUAUGGAGUUGGGUUGGCAUCGGAGGGCCACCAGGGGGCCCACGAGGUAGGGGGCGCGCCCUAGGGGGGGCACCCCCCACCAUUGUGGACAGGGUUUGGGCCCCCUGGUAUUCAUCUUUGGCGAAGAUUUUUUAUUGUUUUUUCUAAGGUGUUCCGUGGAGUUUCAGGUCAUUCCGAGAACUUUUAUUUUCUGCACAUAAAACAACAUCAUGGCAAUUCUGCUGAAAACAGUGUCAGUCCGAGUUAGUUCCAUUCAAAUCAUACAAGUUAGAGUCCAAAACAAGGUCAAAAGUGUUUGCAAAAGUAGAUAAGACGGAGACGUAUCAGCCGACACCUUCCUCAACCCUACCGGAGCCGCUUCGCCGACACCAUCAUCAAACCUACCGGAGUAGCUUCGCCUAUACCAUUCUCAACCCUACCGGGGCCGCUUUGCCAACUCAGUAGUCCACGGCCUCAGAUCCGCUUCCUCGCACCCUCAUCCAACCUACCGGAGCAACUUCUGACGCCACGUCCAUGGCUGCAGAUCCGCAUCAUCGACACCACCCUUAACCCAACCAUCAGAGCAGCUUCUGACGCCCCGUCCACGACCGCAAAUCCGCGUCAUCGACACCAUCCUUAACCCAACCACCGAAGCAGCUUCUGACGCCCUGUCCACGGCCGCAGAUCCGUGUCGUCAACAGCAUCCUUAACCCAACCACCGGAGCAGCUUCACCUACGCCCUCGUCCAUGGCCACAGACCCGCUUCGCCCACAAUGUAGUCCACCCUGCCGGAGCCGCUCCACAAACACCCUACUCGACGGUUCUAGAUCUCCUUACCGUACCCCGACAGCCAGCGCAGUGUCAUCACCCUUGACGUUUCUAACCUGAUUCCCACCAUCUAGAGAGAUGCCAAGCACCCGCCACGGCCUAGGUACUUGUCACCUUUAAACCCGUCCAACAUCACCUGCCCAAUGUACUUCAAAUAUACUAAAUGGUCGCUGUUACCUAUUAUGCAGCUGGCAAAAACUACAAGGACGAUGUUUCUUCUGGAUCUAACAGCUUGGCCAACCAAGAUCCUGGACUGAGGCAUUGCUAUGAUCUUGUAAGCGCGUCUCUCUCUCUCUUGUGUUGUUCUGUACCUGCUAGCGUGCUUUGCUAGGAUUUUCGACCAGUAAUCCCUUUGUGCAGACAAUGAUUUCUACUACUGGCUGCUAAAUUAGAUAUGUAGAUGUCAUACAUGAUACUACCUCGUACCUCCGUUCCUAAAUAUAAGUCUUUCUAGAGAUUCCAGUAUAGGCUACAUACGGAGCAAAAUGAGUGAAUCUACACUCGAAAAUGCAUCUAUAUACAUUUGUAUGUGGUCCAUACUGGAAUCUCUAUAAAGACAUAUAUUUAGGAAUAGGGGCAGUACAUUACACAAAAUCGUAGGUGGCAUGUAGGAAUUCCAGUGCACUACAUUAGGCUCCCUUAGAGUGCCUGCUAGUCCAGCAUACAGAUUCAUGGCUAGUUUAUGGUACGCACACAAUCGUUAAUUGGUGGUUUAAAUAUGCGCAAGGGAUAUGCAAUGUCGUAUCAUGUAGAGAUGUCUAAAAUUAGCCGUGUCAACUUGCAGAUAGGGUUACACAAUGAAAAAGUACAAGAUGUAUGUGGCAAUUUCAUGGAACAUCGCAAAAAAAGGAGAGGCGGCGGUGAGCCUAUACAGUGUGCUAUGGUACGUCACUCCUCCAUUGCAGUUAUUUGUAUGCCAGUUCUAUUAGCCAAGUUUCUUAGGGACAGUUAUUACGAGUUAUCCUAAGAAAAUAAGCACCUAUGAAUAUAAGCUCCAUGUAAUAAGCCAACCAGUUCUUUUCAUUGCGUUUUCAGCUUAUCUUUGGUAUGAUCAGUGGAAAGUCUAGAUUGCAUUAUAUAUUUUUUCAUUUUGCUGCCCAUAUGGAAAUUAAUUUGACUUGCAAACAUCACAAAUUGAACCCAAUGCAGUAAUUAAUAUGAUGGGAAAACAGACCAUCACUAUUUUCUCAAAAUGCAAAUACAAAGAUACCAUCUACUUGGCACAAUCUACUUUGGUCAAUGUUUUCCAUAGAGAUCCCAUUGCCUAAUUUAAACGAAGAACGCAUGACCCACAUUUAAAUGAAGAACAAUUAUUUAUUGAAAUUUGAUGGUCCAAGUGGCUGGUUAUUAUCAUAUAGCAGCACCACCUGAAAGCAUCAUAUAGCAGCAACAGCAGCUCAUAGCAACUCAUCAUACAGCAGCAGCAGUCUGCAAUUCAUCAUAUACCAGCAGCAGCUCGUAGCAAUUCAUCAUAUAACAGCAGCAGGAGCAGCUCAUAGCAAUUCAUCGUAUAGCAGCAGCAGGAGCGGCUCAUAGCAAUUCAUCAUAUAGCAGCAGCAGGAGCAGCUUAUAGCAACUCAUCAUAUAGCAGCAGCAGCUCAUAGCAAUUCAUCAUAUAGCAGCAACAGCAGCUCAUAGCAACUCAUCAUACAGCAGCAGCAGCUCAUAGCAAUUCAUCAUAUAGCAGCAGCAGGAGCAGCUCAUAGAAAUGCAUCAUAUAGCAGCAGCAGAAGCAGCUCAUAGCAAUUCAUCGUAUAGUGGAUCAGAAUGAAAAUUUGGCAAAAAAUCAAAGGAGAUCCUCACCUUGUUGGAUGAGCUCAUCCUUCAAUAGCACCUCAAGGCCAUGGCCUGGGAGGAGGGGAGGGGGAAUAAGGUGCCUUCUGCCGCAGUGUGGUAUCAGCUGUAGUUGUGCAGCGCCCGCCGGAGUAGUGCAUUGGACGAACCACAAUGGAGCAGCUGCUGGAGACCAUGAGAAUGAGGGGCGGCGCCAGAGGGAGGAACAGCCAGGGAGAUUUGCCCCUACCCACCGGCCAUGUAGCCUAGCUGGACAUAGCAUCAUCGAGGACCAGGCCAGAUGGGACCAGUGGUGACGGCUCGCUGGAGGAACCCUAGCGCUGCAGGCAGGGGAUCGAGGUAGAGGGAAAGGGGAGAGGAGAUGCAAGUGGGCAGGCAAUGAAUGCUUGCAUGUUUGUUUUUUACUUGAGGUUCAAGUGUGACACGGGCGUUAACAGUUGCAUUUUGAGUGUAAUAUAGGCAGACAACAGAGUCAUUUCACUAUUCCCCUUCCCUUCAAUUUUUAGUGAGGUUCUACCCGAAACACCCCCCUCCAAAGCUAAAUUAGUUAAGCCCAAGCCCAUAACUCAAAAAUGACUUCUUUACAUCUUUUAUGGCUUAUUUUGACAAUAUUCCCUGAAAAGGCGGAAUCGAACUGGCCCUUAACAUGCAAUUCAAUUGUGCAUGCAAUGAUGAAUCACUCAUACCUGCUAUCUGUACAUUUAGGCAUCAUCAUACAUGGCAUAACCUAAUACAUGUGCAUUCCAUUGUAGAAUGUGGAAUAUGCAAUGUUUAUGUUAGUUCAUAUGUUGCACAUGAUGUUUAAAUGCCCCUUAAAUCUGGUCAGUCAAGUGAUGGUCUUUAAGCCUCCUUCUUUGCUUCUUUUCUUGAUAUGUAAGAUUUGCUCACACAUCUGUUCAAUUGCUUGUUUGCAUCAGCCAACCAUACUAGGAUUGUUUGCUUUGAUUACUUGCCGCUCUUGACCUAACACUCUAACAGCGCUUGUCAAUGAUUUAAACACUAAGGGCUGCUGUAGUGGGGCCUUGUCUAACUCAUAGGUGACAUAAAGGUUUGGUUGUACACUACAGUAGGCUCUCCAAGAGUACCUGGAGAUCCAGUUCGAAGGUAUGCCUAGUUUUUACAUAGUGCAGACAUAGUAAAUGCUCAUUUCAUUGUGUGCAAGUGCAAGAGAUGCGGCAUGUUUCAUUAUGUGGUGUUGUUUUGUUAUAAUCUCAUCCUUUUGUGUUCAUAGACUAGAAAGUAUGCAUAUUUAUCUUCCAAGGAGACGAGUACCUAGUUUGUGUCACCUUGCAGAGGGGGUGCAAUGAAGAUAAGAUUGAGGAUUUCCAAGUACAAGAUGUUAGGAAGGAGCCUUGCAAGAGAAGUAGGAGCUGCGCUGAGCCUCUUCAACCUGCUAAGGUAAGUCACUGUAUGCAACUCAACUGUUCAAUUCCUUGUUUGUUUCAGGCAUAGUUAAUUUGCUCUUUUCAAUUGCUUUAUUUGUCCUCAGUUAAUGAGAUGCCCAAAUAAUCAUGCCUAAUGUUCGGUACUUGUAUAACUAUUAGUUGACAUAAUUAAAGGCCUUACCAUUUAAUUACUCUGCCUAAAUGUGCCUGAAGCUUUGAAGUCUAUUAACCAACUAUUAUUGCAUGAGGCUCGCAAUCUAGUUUAUACUACGCUAAUGAUUGCAUAGUUUUGCCUGUUGUAGUAUGUUUGUAUGAAACCCUCUGAUGUUCAUUAUGCUCCCUAAGACUUUAGUUGAGAUACAGAAUGGCCAACUGCUUGCUUAUACGGAACGUGAUGUCUAAAUUUGUAACUUGUCUGUGUUUUCGAUUGGGCCCCAACAUCAUGCUCCUCUGGUGAACUAAGAGGGAUUUCUAUAUGCAGGCUGCACACACUAUCUUUCUUAUAAUUUUUAAAAUAUCACCUGCUUAUGCUUCAUGACGUGUAACAUUAUUGUUAGUCCUGUUUUGCCAUGUAGUACAAAAUAGUGUCUUGCUCGCUUCACUGUUGUAACUAUAUUUUUGCCCUAGUCAUGUGUACUUACAGAAACAUUUCAGGAUGAAGUGAUAUCAACACAAAGAUCUGCGAGCAGUGUGGCAUGGCCGUUAUCGAAUGAUUAUGGAUUGGAAUUGGAAUGUGCUGAUGUUCUCGAGCAUCGACUAGAGGUGGCAAGAUAACGUGUACAUGAUUGUCAACAUUUAAUCAACAAGUUGAGACUAGACAUGCAGGUAUUAGAUGCAGGAGUCAAAAAAUGAAACAAGACACUGAGGUAACUGUCGGUGUCAAAAUCGGCGGAUCUCGGGUAGGGGGUCCCGAACUGUGCGUCUAGGCAGAUGGUAACAGGAGACAAGGGACACGAUGUUUUACCCAGGUUCGGGCCCUCUUGAUGGAGGUAAAACCCUAUGUCCUGCUUGAUUAAUAUUGAUGAUGUGUGUUACAAGAGUAGAUCUACCACGAGAUCAAGGAGGCUAAACCCUAGAAGCUAGCCUAUGGUAUGAUUGUUGUUCGUCCUAUGGACUAAAGCCAUCCGUUUUAUAUAGACAUCGGAGAGGGCUAGGGUUACACAGAGUCGGUUACAAUGGUAGGAGAUCUACAUAUCCGUAUCGCCAAGCUUGCCUUCCACGCCAAGGAAAAUCCCAUCCGGACACGGGACGAAGUCUUCAAUCUUGUAUCUUCAUAGUCUUGGAGUUCGGCCGAUCAUGAUAGUUCGGCUAUCCGGACACCCCCUAGUCCGGAACUCCCUCAGUAGCCCCUGAACUAGGCUUCAAUGACGACGAGUCCGGUGCGCAUGUUGUCUUCGACAUUGCAAGGCGGGUUCUUCCUCCGAAUAAUUUAUAGAAGAUUGUGAACACCAGGAUAGUGUCCGGCUCUGCAAAAAUAAAUUCCACGUACCACCGUAGAGAGAAUAAUAUUACACAAGUUCAGUCUGCUGACGUAUUUUGUGGCGUGACGUCACAUCAUUACCAAGCCUUUACUCGAAUUGUUUUUAUUGUAUCACCUCAGCGUGUUUAGCGAGGCGGUUUCCUUGGCACGUCUUGUCGAAGCAGAGAUCGUGUUCCCCUUAUUCCGAGAUUCCCAUAAAUAUGGACGUGGGUAACCCAACCGCGCCCGUUGUCACGCCCCCUCCAUCAAAGGCGGGUUCCAAACGGUCGCGGGGACGGCUCUUGGUAUUCUUCCUCUUUAUAAUGAGACCAAGGCCCGUUCUUUUCCUUCAAUCCUCUAUCGAAUCCGCCCCUCGCCCCGAGUUCCAACACCCAGGGCUCCAUAUUCGGGUACCUUCGAUAUUCGACAAUGUCCGGCCCCGACCUACGAGGCCGGUGGAUGCCCUCCUCCUUCACGGAAGAGGACGUGCUAAAGCUAAGAGACGCCAGGUACUUAACCUAUGAGAUUUCGCAUAGGCUGCCUGCCCAAGGGCAAGUUAUUCCUACUCCCGAGCUUGGCGAGAGCGUCGUGUUCGUGUCUCACCUCCGUCAGGGUUUAGGCUUCCCGACGGACCCCUUCGUGAGGGGGCUCAUGUUUUACUAUGGGCUGGAAUUCCAUGACUUGGCUCCGGAGUCCAUCCUCCACAUCUCAUCAUUCAUUGUCGUCUGUGAAGCCUUCCUCCACACUACCACUCACUUCGGCUUGUGGCUCAAAACCUUCAACGUGGAGCCGAGAUGAUUGAGGGGCGUCAGGCAGAGUGCGGAGGGGCGGUUAUAAGUAAGAGGGCCGAUGCACCAUGGCCCGAGGGCUCUUUUCAGGAGGAGCUCGGCUUGUGGCAACAUGAGUGGUUCUAUAUCACCGCUCCCAGGGGCAGCAGGCAGAGGCUGCCGCCCGUCUUCCGCUCGGGCCCUCCACAACAGUUGACGUCAUGGGUCAACAAGGGGCGUGACUGGGGGCCGUCCAAGGACGUUCCCCUGUUGCAGGACCGGAUUCGAGGCCUCCAAGAAAGGGAGAUCAAUCUGGCCGUAGUGGUACAUGUUAUGUUGAUCCCGCGCCUACUGCCCUGCAAACGUCGCCCCUCCGCCUAUGGGAAUUUAAUCCGGAGGGGCCACGAGUUCUUCAACACUUCAUGGGUUUGACACCCGCGGAGAUGUACAAACUGUUCUUCGGAUCGCAAGAGAUGCGUCCGGAAUUGACCAAGGAUGCUGGCCUAAGCUGCAAUCGCUCGGAUACUCAAGUAAGUAGCCCUGUGUCCGGACACAUCGUUCAUUCAUUUACUGUGGGUUUGCCUUUUAACUAGCUAUCCCUUGGACAGGAGUGGAUAGCGCAAGCAAAAUUGAUACGGUGUCAGGCCCCCCUCCCUGAGACCACGCAGGAUCCCGUGUUAAUCAAAAUGUUAGAGGUUGCACCUUUGGAGGAGGGCGAAGAAGGGCACAGGGGAACUACCACCUCAGCCAUGGAGGCUUUCAGUAAGGGAGGAAUCGAGAGUCCCUCCUUACAGGGGGAGAAGAGGACCGCUUCCGAAGACCCGGAGGUCAAGGCCUCAAAGCGGGGAAAGAAAUCUGUACCGGAAGGUCCUGUGCCAAGAAGAGCCCCGGCCAUACUGUCUCCUCCGAGGACUCAGCCCUCCAGCGAGUCGUAAGUAAAAAAGAGGGAAUUUUGUAAUAGUGGACACCCCUGCUUAAUUUCUAAGGGUAACCGAAGUUUUCAUCUUGUAGUUCGGAUCUCAGCCUGUCUCAGCACAGCUCAUCUUCGGGAGACCUUCGUCCGGAGAUGAUGGAGAGCGAAACGCCUCCAUCUGCGCCCCAUCGUGUGGGGCGGACGACCCCGAGGUGUCGACGCGGAGGGUCUCUUCGAGUCCGGCGGGGCCAGAGAGUUCGGCACCCAUUGGAGUACGGCUGGUGGAGCUGCAGGAUUUGCUUAAGAGGGCGUCCAUCUCAAAAGAUCACCGCACAUUAAUCAGUAUGGUGAUUGAGAGGAUCUCGUCCGCCGAAAUCGGGUUGUGUGAGGCUGUCGAAAGUUUGCUGACGGGAUUUGAGGUACGCAAAAAAUGACGUACCUUUUGACAGUUUUUGCACAUGAAGUGCGCCCUGUAUAGAUAGUAGCCCCUGAGACUUGGUAUGUUGUCGAAAACGGCAGCGUGCCGAGGAUCAUAAUCUCAGUUAUAGAUUGUCGCCUUUCCUACGUAGGUGGCGGGACGUUUGGUGGCCAGCCGGACUGAUGGAGAUGCCGAGCUUAAGAGGCAACUCGAUGUUGCGGAUGCGGACAUCUCGCUAAUCAAUAAACGACUCGAUGAGUCACAAGGUAUGUGGUUGCUCCGCGGUCGCCUAGUAAGGGAGCUGACGCCCAUUCCUUACCAUUUGUAUGCUUGAUGCAGAUGGUGCUACUGCUGUGGAAGACCUUCGGGCAAAGCUUGCUCGGGCCAAGGAGCAAUCCAGGAUAAGUGAUGCGGCUGCCUUGAAGGCAGCAGAAGAGCUAAAAGCCGAAAAGGCUGCUCACUGCCGAAGCAGGGAAGAGUUGGCCGGAAUGGCCUUGAAAUUAAAAGAUGCUACCGACCGUUGUGAGGUUCUUGAAGGAGAACGCCGAGUGGAGCAAGAUGGCCUGAAGAAGGCCGGCGCCGAAGUCAAGGAUGCCCGGAGUGAGAUGCGGGCUAUGAAGGAGGAAGUGCAUCAGGCCGGAGACAUUGCGGCUGGAAAGCCCUUUCUUCUGCGUAGGAAGUUCACGGAUUCGAAGUAUGCUCAGCUGGGCCAGUUGUGUGGUGCGGAGGAUCCUUAUCUGGAUUUGGCGGCGAGUGCAGCGGACGCAGUCGUGCACUUCCGAAGCCAGAAGGAUCAUGAAAUGGAAGAACUUUACUGGUCUCAAUUCCAUAGUCCGGAGCGUCCACUUCCGUUGACUGAUCGGCUGGCUGAGUGGGCUGAGCUGAAUAGGUUGUCCGGACUUGCCAUGACGGAUGUGGUCACUCAUCUGUGGCCGGAAAGGCCCAAGCCGAAGAGUUAUUUUGGCUUGUUGCAGCAAUUCCUUGGGGCGGUGCCGCAUAUCAAGGCGAUAAAGCGGUCGGUAUGCAUAGAAGGUGCACAGAUGGCGCUCGCCCGUGUGAAGACAUACUGGGCGAACAUUAAUGCCACCGCUGUUGCAUCCCGGGGUUCGGACAAGAGCCGAUUACCCGCCGAGCACUAUUUUGAGGAAGUCCUGCAGGACGCUCAUUUAAUAGAAUCGCAGUGCUCGAAAGAUGUCAUGUUCAAAUGACGUGUAUAAUUUGUUAGAUCAUAUUUAUAAUGCAAUAGCUUUUUAUACUUGUGCGUUCAAGUAUUGAACUAUCUCCUGUGCGGUCAUAUAUGUAUGAAUAACCUGAAAGUUGCAGUCUUUGGCUUCAGCCCCCACGCACAUGGUGCGGGGGUGUUUGCAAAAAGAAAAGCGCUUUUUCACACUUAAUCCAACGUCUUGGUCCUUUUAGGGAGGUGAUAGCGUAGCAAACUAGGCAACCGGACUAUAAUGCUUUAUCACUUUCACUUAGCCAUAGGAGCUCGAAUGUGGGGCUACGAUAUAGCCCCUAGCGGCACCGCUCUUCUCCGAACUUCGGGGCGCGUAUGUGCCUGACCGGGAAGCGGUCCUUCGUCAAAGCGGAGGAAUUCUAAACAUUCCAAUGGUCGAUCGAGUGGUUGACCAGUCUCUCGCUAUAUCAUGACAGUUAGUUUUCGGCUUUCUCUACUAAGGUGUUCGCCCGGCCGAACUGGGGCACAAUCGCAAUAGUUCUCCUGGUGCCGCGUUAGCCGAUGAUACGGAACGUAAGGCAGCAAAACACAGGAGCUGGGCAAACCCAACAUUUGACCAAAGACAUGAUUCGGAGCUGAUGCAUAUAAGGCCUAACUCGAGACGCCGAACACUCCGUGAGGUGUUCGGUCUUUAUGAUACCGGGCAGAACAAUGCCCUAAGCCCCUAGUGUCCAGGUACAGGUGGGAACUUCUGACGCGGCCGAUGCCAAAACGCCAGCCUCCUCCUCGGCUUUGGUGGGAAACCGGGGGAUGUGUAUCAACAAGAGACAGUAAGAAAGGUUUACGCAGGGUCUUAAUCUGAAAAGAAUCCUUGCAACGGGUCCCUGCUGCACGUCUGCGCCUGUGUCUCGGUUGUGCUGUAUCCUGGACGGGUGUAGCACGUGCUUCAUCUGUAAAAGAGAAAGACUUAGUUUCCAAGAAAUAUCGUGCAUAAGUUGUAUUAAAAUGGAAUAAAAGGAAGAAAGUUGAGCUUUGUUGGCUCUCAUCAUUUAUACACGUGGCCCGUUAUAAAGGGGAUAUGCGGCUGGGAAGCCCCUUGUUUAGUUACGCCGGACUCGCCUAACCAUGUCCGAGGUCUGAAUGACUUGUUUUUAGGGGCUUUGACCCGCAAGGUCUGAUUAGUGUGUGGCUGUCGAGGCAGUCUCACGUUCUCCGUGGUCGAGGAACACUCGGAGUUACUUUUUAAUGAACUUAUGCCACAUUGACCGGGCAUUUUUAAGCGUAAAAAAUGCGUAAUGUGGUAUUGCAUUAGGGCUGGCGAAAGCUGCGCGCCCCAGUAGUGCUUAAGGGCUACUGUUUGAAUGGGGCGAUGGAUAGUGAGCUUUUCGCGACGGAGGUUGUUGGAUGAACCGAACGCAACCUCUAGUGGUACAGAGCCUGUAUAAUUGGCUUAAAGGCCUGGCGUCACUCCUUUGAAAGAAGUGCGGCUAUGGCGAAUUUUGGUAGGGUCUAUCCCCAUUCUGCGGGCGGUGUCCUGGUAUUGCAGGUGCUGCGCUGUCUUUUCGUGUUAUCACAUGAAGUGAGUUCACUGUUUUGACUUCUAGUGGGAAAGUCUUCUGUUUGCCGUAGUGCUGCUUUUGGGUUUCGUCACUUUCGCUUGGUGUGUCGAGCCCCUUGUGUUCGGCGUUAAGUCGGCCAGACUGUUUGAAGACCCAACAAUCUCUGUGGGUAUGGUUUGCAGGCUUCCCGGGGGUACCAUGUAUUUGACAUAGUCUAUCUAGAAUCUUGUUUAGGUUGGAUAGCUCGUCACUGUUGUCCUUAAGGGGCAGUGUUUUGUUGUUCGGACGAGAGCUUUUGAAUCCGGCAUUGACCGCCGUACUAUUCGGGCCAUUUUCCUUAUUCCGGCGCUGAUCUUUUCUGCGUCGUGAUUUCCCAUUUCCAUACCUGACUUCGGAUGUACUCGGAUCGCUGGUGCUGCAUCUAGCCAGCCAGCUAUCUUCCCCCGCGCAAAAGCGGGUCAUGAGGCUUGUUAGUGCGGCCAUUGUUCUUGGUUUUUCCUGGCCGAGGUGUCUGGCAAGCCAUUCGUCUCGGACGUUGUGUUUAAAGGCUACUAAGGCUUCAGCGUCCGGACAGUCGACUAUUUGGUUCUUUUUAGUUAGGAACCUGUUCCAGAAUUUGCGUGCUGACUCUCCGGGCUAUUGAGUUAUGUGACUUAAAUCGUCUGCAUCCGGAGGGCGGACAUAGGUCCCCUGAAAAUUUGCUCGAAACGCAUCCUCAAGCUCUUCCCAACUUCCAAUGGUAUUUUCUGGGAGGCUUUUAAGCCAAUGCCGAGCUGGCCCUUUGAGCUUGAGGGGUAGGUAUUUUAUGGCAUGGAGAUCGUCUCCUCUGGCCAUAUGUAUGUGUCGGAUGUAAUCCUCAAUCCAGACUCCGGGGUUUGUUGUUCCGUCAUAUGCCUCUAUGUUUACGGGUUUGAAUCCCGCUGGAAAUUCAUGAUCCAGUACCUCAUCGGUGAAACAUAGUGGGUGUGCGACGCCCCUGUAUUUGGGUGUUCCGUUGUCUUCAAAUGCUCGGCGGGUUAUGUUGCUUCCUGGAGUCUUCUUUUUUGGCCCAUAAAUAGAUCUGACCGGGUUGUCCUUUUUCCGAGGAUCUUUAUGCUGAUCGUGUGCCGGUUUGUGUGCGGCGCCCCUUGUUGCUCUUGGCCUGUCAUCUGGUCGUCUAUCCGGCCAGGCAGCUUCUUUCUUUUUUGACUGCGGGGGCUCUAAGGCCUCCUUGUCAAAUUCGGGCAACAGCUUGCGCUUCGGGUAGCUCUUCGUUUGGUUACUGGCGCCAUGUUUAUCUGCGCUGUUGAGUACUUUGCUCCACCUCAUUCUGAGUGCGUCCUCCGCAGUUUUGAGCUUCCGCUUUUGCUUCUUCAAACUUCUUGCAAUGGCGACGAGCCUUUUAUGAAGAUUCGUAUGCUCUGGUGAUGUGAGAUUGUCUUCGCCGGGGAUGGGUUGCUUGUCCAGUUCAUGUCCGGCUUUUUGCUUGGUGACAUGUGCGUCGUCCACUGCUUCGCCCUGCUCUAGGGUCGGGUCUGUAUGGGUGCCGUUUUUAUCGAGGCCGGUCUUCGGGUGGCGCUUGCGUCGCCGUUUUGGUUGUUUGUUGGGGGAGUUGUCCUUCGCCACGUCCCAUUUUUCCUCAUUAUCGCUUCCUUUUGGUGUAUCCACCAUGUAUACGUCGUGAGUUGGGGUGGCUUUCCCGUGCCCGGUAGGCGCUGGUUCUUGGUCGUCUCCGGCAUCGUCGUCCAUACCGUCGAUGUCUUCGGAGUCAUAGUUUAGCAUGUCGGUUAGAUCGUCGAUAGUGGCUACUAAUUGGGUGGUGGGUGGGCUUUGAAUUUCUUCGUCGUCCGCAUCCCAACUGUCCUGGCCGCAAUCCGGCCAGGGCUCUCCUGAUAAUGAGAGAUACUUUAGCGAACUCAAGAUGUCGCCGAAAGGUGAGUGUUGAAAGAUGUCCGCUGCGGUGAACUCCAUGAUCAGCGCCCAAUCGGAUUCGAUCGGAGGGGGCGCGGGAGGUUCGGAGUCCGGCGAGGAGUCCGGCACCUCGGAGUCACGAGUUUUAUGAGGGACAAGGUCAGUGUUCGGCUCUAUCGCCGUAGAGGUUGCAGCCCCCGAGGCGGUGUCCAGCCAUCCGUCCUCGAUCUGCGCAGCCGGCUCCGAAUUGAAGAUCAGAGCGGGUUUGAGUGCGGCCUCCAGGGUACUGUCCGGCUGCAGAGCUAAAUCAUGCUCGCCGUGACAGUGCGACAUGCUCGGCUGUGGUUCGAAUCCAUCGAGGAUCAAGUCCCCGCGGAUGUCAGCCGUGAAGUUCAGGCUUCCAAACCUGACCUGACGGCCAGGGGCGUAGCUUUCGAUCUGCUCCAAAUGGCCAAGCGAAUUGGCCCGCAGUGCAAAGCCGCCGAAUACGAAGAUCUGUCCGGGGAGAAAGGUCUCACCCUGGACUGCGUCGUUGAUGAUGGUCGAAGAAGCCAUCGAGCCUAUCGGUGACGACACAGAGGAACUCUCAAUGAAAGCACCAAUGUCGGUGUCAAAACCGGCGGAUCUCGGGUAGGGGGUCCCGAACUGUGCGUCUAGGCGGAUGGUAACAGGAGACAAGGGACACGAUGUUUUACCCAGGUUUGGGCCCUCUUGAUGGAGGUAAAACCCUACGUCCUGCUUGAUUAAUAUUGAUGAUGUGUGUUACAAGAGUAGAUCUACCACGAGAUCAAGGAGGCUAAACCCUAUAAGCUAGCCUAUGGUAUGAUUGUUGUUCGUCCUAUGGACUAAAGCCAUCCGGUUUAUAUAGACACCGGAGAGGGCUAGGGUUACACAGAGUCGGUUACAAUGGUAGGAGAUCUACAUAUCCAUAUUGCCAAGCUUGCCUUCCACGCCAAGGAAAAUCCCAUCCGGACACGGGACGAAGUCUUCAAUCUUGUAUCUUCAUAGUCUUGGAGUCCGGCCGAUCAUGAUAGUUCGGCUAUUAGGACACCCCCUAGUCCGGAACUCCCUCAAUAACCAUGAAGGAAUUGGAGAUUUUGCAGACUGAAAUUUGUGCUACCUGAAUCCGGUCAAUCAAUUAUAGUUCAAAUGGAGUUAAGUUGAUGCGCGUCCAUGAUGUAUGAGAUGUAUUUGCCCAGUAUAUGUAAUUUGUUGUUUGUGUAUGCUUUAUUAACACCUGUGCCGAACCAUAAUGCCCAGUGGGUAUAAUCAGCUGUAAUUUCUUUAUUGUAUAGUGUAGGAUUAUUCUACCUUUCUAUGCCUUGAUCACUUUGUUGUAUAGUGUAUGCUUUUUAGAGGUGAUAGUAUUGAGUAGGAUAAUUAUUUGAAUAUGCUAUAUCGUUCAAACGGGGGCCAACUCGCCCGACCAUGGCCCUUCACGGGCCGUACGAUCCAUGGGUCAUGUACAUGCCGUCAGAUCCAUGGGCCUUCAAUGGGCCGUCGGACCCAUGGGCCUUCAAUGGGCCGUCGGCUCCAUGGGCCUUCAAUGGGCCGUCGGCUCCAUGGGCCUUCUACGUCUCAUAGGAUCCAUGGGCCUUCUACAUCUCGUAGGAUCCAUGGGCCUUGUAACGGCCGACUCAUUUAUGGGUAUUGUAUGGGCCUUUAAUGGGUUGUAGAUGGGCCUUUAAUGGAAAUCGUAUGUUUUAUGGGCUCACCAUAACGAGCCGUUAAUAGGCCGUAUUUGGUGAUGCUAUGAAAAUGGCCCAACAGAUUAACGGUCCACAAAUGGGCCGACUGUAACGACGGGCUGAAUUUGGCCCACAAGCAGAAAAUGACAGUAACGGGUCGUAGGUAACUGAAUGCUGCAAAUGAGCCCAAGAAUAAAUGGGCCCUCAGAAGGCCGAAAGAUAACUUGGGCUGGAAACGGCCCAAUGGAAUAACGGGCCGUUAAUGGGUAUAAAGUGAUACACUGUUCAUUACGGGCCAGUUUCACCAUGGGCCGUUUAUGGGUGUAAAGUGAUACACUAUUCAUUACGGGCCAGUUUCACCACGACCAUUAAUGGGCCAAUAAUUAUAAAGGGCCUCAUAUGGGCCGAAAGACGUCAUGGGCCAUACAUGGGCCAGAAGUGAAAACGGGCUGGAAUCAUAUUGGAUGGCCCAGAUGACGCUACUGGGCCUAAUUCGAAUAGGGCGUAACGAGCCUUGGGUUAGCGGGCUGUAAAUAGGCUAUAUGCGAAUAGGCCGUUAACAGGCUUUCCAUGGGCCAGCCCGCCACCUUCUGACCAAGUCAAACGGGCCGGCCUUUUCACAGGAGUGGGCCACUGUUGGGUCGUGCCACGUAUCGACGUAUCAUAGGCGCCUUCUGUCCAAUGAGUGGAUGACAUCUGUCCCAACGAUGAGCCGACACGUGUUUCCUCUAGCCAAUGAUGAUUUUACAUGUGGAAAAUCCCCAUUGGUCGGGGCUGUUAACGGGUUAUCGGAUCCAAAACCCGACCCGAUAGCUUAACGGUGUUCUGUUACGAUGGAUGCCACGUGCCGGUCACCCUUGACGAAAGCACUUCUAUGACGCGCGAUUUAUCGUCAUGGAAGUGGACACUUCCGUGAUGAUAAUUUUGGUAAUGUCAUGGAACACUUCUACGACAGCACAUGUAUGACUAUCUUGAUUCUGUCAUAAAAUCGUCAUGGAUGUACAUGCAUGACAAAAAACGCGACCUACUGUGACAAACAUGUAUCAUCACGGAAGUGUAUUUUUUUGUAGUGUAUGAUAAGAGAUAGACCCGGGGGCCAUAAGUUUCACUAGAGGCUUCUCUCAAGAUAACAUAAGUAUUACGGUGGGUGAACAAAUUACUGUCGAGCAAUUGAUAGAAAAGCGAAUAAUUAUGAGAUUAUCUAGGCAUGAUCAUGUAUAUAGGCAUCACGUCCAUAACAAGUAGAUCGACUCCUGCCUGCAUCUACUACUAUUACUCCACACAUCGACCGCUAUCCAGCAUGCAUCUAGAGUAUUAAGUUCAUAAGAACGGAGUAACGCAUUAAGAAAGAUGACAUGAUGUAGAGGGAUAAACUCAAGCAAUAUGAUAUAAACCCCAUCUUUUUAUCCUCGAUGGCAACAAUACAAUAUGUGCCUUGCAACCUUUUCUGUCACUAGGUAAGGACACCACAAGAUUGAACCCAAAGCUAAGCACUUCUCCCAUGGCAAGAAAGAUCAAUCUAGUAGGCCAAACCAAACCGAUAAUUCGAAGAGACUUGCAAAGAUAACUCAAUCAUACAUAAAAGAAUUUAGAGAAGAUUCAGAUAUUUCUCAUAGAUAAACUUGAUCAUAAACCCACAAUUCAUCGGAUCUCGACAAACACACCGCAAAAAGAGUUUACAUCGAAUAGAUCUCCACAAGAGAGGGGAGAACAUUGUAUUGAGAUCCAAAAAGAGAGAAGAAUCCAUCUAGCUAAUAACUAUGGACCCGAAGGUCUGUGGUAAACUACUCACAACUCAUCGGAUGGGCUAUGGUGUUGAUGUAGAAGCCCUCCGUGGUGGAUUCCCCCUCCGGCAGAACACCGGCGACGGCUCCAAGAUGGAAUCUCACGGAUACAGAAGGUUACGGUGGCGGCAAUAUUUCUUCGGUGGCUCCUUGGAUGUUUUUGGGGUAUGUAGGCUUAUAUAGGAGGAAGAAGUACGUCCGUGGCCGCACGAGGGGCCCACAAGACAGGGGGACGCACCCAGGAGGGGUGGGCGCACCCUCCUAUCUCCUGGCCGCCUCAAUUGCUUCUUUACUUGCACUCCAAGUCCUCCGGAUCACGUUUGUUCCAAAAAUCACGCUCCCGAAGGUUUCAUUCCGUUUGGACUCCGUUUGAUAUUCCUUUUCUUCGAAAUACUGAAAUAGGCAAAAAAACAACAAUACGGGCUGGGCCUCCGAUUAGUAGGUUAGUCCCAAAAAUGAUAUAAAUGUGUAAAAUAAAGCCCAUAAUCAUCCAAAAUAGGUAAUAUAAUAGCAUGGAACAAUCAAAAAUUAUAGAUACAUUAGAGACGUAUCAGGGUGCAUGACCAUAAAAGAUAUUAAUCAUAUAAAUAGAACAACCAUUAUUCUCUGAUUUAAAUGAAUAACCGUUUUGCACUAAACAAGAUCCAGAUAUAAUGUUCAUGCUCAACGCUGGCACCAAAUAACAAUUAUUUAGGUCUAAAACUAAUCCCAAAGGAAGAUGUAGAGGUAGUGUACCGAUGGAGAUCACAUCAACCUUGGAACCAUUUCCGACGCGCAUCGUCACCUCGUCCUUAACCAGUCUUUGUUUAAUCCGUAGUCCCUGAUUCGAGUUACAAAUAUGAGCAACCGAACCGGUAUCAAAUACCCAGGCACUACUAUGAGAAUUAGUAAGGUACACAUCUAUAACAUGUAUAUCAAAUAUACCUUUGCUCACUUUGCCAUCCUUCUUAUCCGCCAAAUACUUGGGGCAGUUCCGCUUCAAGUGAUCAGUUCCUUUGCAGUAGAAGCACUCACUUUUAGGCUUGGGUCCAUUUUUAGGUUUCUUCCCGGGAGUGACAACUUGCUUGUCAUUCUUCUUGAAGUUCCCCUUCUCUUUACCCUUGCCAUUCUUCUAGAAACUAGUGGUCUUGUUAAACAUCAGCACUUGAUGCUCCUUCUUGAUUUCUACCACCGCGGCCUUUACCAUCGUGAAGAGCUCGGGAGUAGUCUUUUCCAUCCCUUGCAUAUUGUAGUUCAUCACGAAGCCUUUGUAGCUUGGUGGCAGUGAUUGAAGAACUCUGUCAAUGACACAAUCAUCUGGAAGAUUAAUGAUACGUCUCCAAUGUAUCUAUAAUUUUUUAUUGUUCCAUGCUAUUAUAUUACCUGUUUCGGAUGUUUAAUGGGCUUUAUUAUGCACUUUUAUAUUAUUUUUGGGACUAAUCUAUUAACCGGAGGCCCAGUCCAAAUUGUUGUUUUUUUGCCUAUUUCAGUGUUUCGUAGAAAAGGAAUAUCAAACGGAGUCCAAACCAAAUGAAACCUUCAGGAGAGUUAUUUUUGGAACAAAUGCAAUCCAGGAGAGUUGGAGUGGACAUCAAGAAAGAAAUGAGGAGGCCACGAGGUAGGAGGGCGCUACCAGGGGGUAGGCGCCCCCCCACCCUUGUGGGCCCCUCAUGGCUCCCCUGACCGACUUCCUUCACCCAUAUAUACUCAUAUACCCUGAAAACAUCCAGGAGCACCACGAAACCCUAUUUCCACCGCCGCAACCUUCUGUACCCGUGAGAUCACAUCUUAGGGUCUUUUCCGGCGCUCCGCCGGAGGGGGAAUCGAUCAUGGAGGGCUUCUACAUCAACACCAUAGCCUCUCCGAUGAAGUGUGAGUAGUUUACCACAGACCUUUGGGUCCUUAGUUAUUAGCUAGAUGGCUUCUUCUCUCUAUUUGGAUCUCAAUACAAAGUUCUCCUCGGUCUUCUUGGAGAUCUAUUCGAUGUAAUUCUUUUUGCGGUGUGUUUGUCGAGAUCCAAUGAAUUGUGGGUUUAUGAUCAAGAUUAUCUAUGAACAAUAUUUGAAUCUCCUCUGAAUUAUUUUAUGUAUGAUUUGUUAUCUUUGCAAGUCUCUUCGAAUUAUCAGUUUGGUUUGGCCUACUAGAUUGAUAUUUCUUGCAAUGGGAGAAGUGCUUAGCUUCGGGUUCAAUCUUGUGGUGUCCUUUCCCAGUGACAGCAGGGGCUGCAAGGCGCAUAUUGUAUUGUUGCCAUCGAGGAUAAAAAAUGGGGUUUAUAUCAUAUUGCUUGAGUUUAUCCCUCUACAUCAUGUCAUCUUGCCUAAUGCGUUACUCUGUUCUUAUGAACUUAAUACUCUAGAUGCAUGCUGGAUAGCGGUCGAUGUGUGGAGUAAUAGUAGUAGAUGCAGAAUCAUUUCGAUCUACUUGUCGCGAACGUGAUGCCUAUAUACAUGAUCAUGCUUAGAUAUUCUCAUAAUUAUGCACUUUUCUAUCAAUUGCUUGACAGUAAUUUGUUCACCCACCGUAAUACUGAUGCUAUCUUGGGAGAAGCCACUAGUGAAACCUAUGGCCCUCGGGUCUAUUUUCCAUCAUAUAAGUUUCCGAUCCAUUUUUUUUGCAAUCUUUACUUUCCAAUCUAUAUCAUAAAAAUACCAAAAAUAUUUAUCUUAUUAUCUCUAUCAGAUCUCACUUUUGCGAGUGGCCGUGAAGGGAUUGACAACCUGUUUAGCACGUUGGUUGCCAGGUUCUUAUUUGUUUGUGUAGGUAUGAGGCAUUUGCGUGUAGCCUCCUACUGGAUUGCUACCUUGGUUCUCGAAAACUGAGGGAAAUACUUAUGCUACUUUGCUGCAUCACCCUUUCCUCUUCAAGGGAAAACCAAUGCAUGCGCAAGAGGUAGAAAGAAGGAUUUGUGGCGCCGUUGCCGGGGAUUCUACGCUCAAGUCAACAUACCAAGUACCCAUUGCAAACCCUUAUCCCUCGCAUUACAUUAUUUGUCAUUUGCCUCUCGUUUUCCUCUCCCCCACUUCAGCCUUGCCGUUUUAUUCGCCCUCUCUUUUCGUUCGCCCCUUUUUCGCUUGCCUCCUGUGUGCUUGUGUGUUGGAUUGUUUGUCACGGUGGCUCAAGAUAAUACUAAAUUGUGUGAUUUUUCCAAUACCAACAACAAUGAUUUUCUUAACACUCCGAUUGCUCCUCUUACCGAUGUUGAAUCUUGUGAAAUUAAUGUUGCUUUGUUGAAUCUUGUCAUAAAAGAUCAAUUCUCUGGCCUUCCUAGUGAAGAUGCCGCUACUCAUCUAAACAACUUUGUUGAUUUGUGUGAUAUGCAAAAGAAGAAAGAUGUGGAUAAUGAUAUUGUUAAAUUGAAGCUAUUUCCGUUUUCACUUAGAGAUUGUGCUAAAACUUGGUUUUCGCCUUUGCCUAAAAAUAGUAUUGAUUCAUGGAAUAAGUGCAAAGAUGCUUUUAUCUCUAAGUAUUUUCCUCCCGCUAAGAUCAUCUCUCUUAGAAACGGUAUUAUGAAUUUUAAGCAACUUGAUCAUGAACAUGUUGCACAAUCUUGGGAGAGGAUGAAAUUAAUGAUUCACAAUUGCCCUACACAUGGAUUAAUUUUAUGGAUGAUCAUACAAAAGUUUUAUGCCGGAUUGAAUUUUGCUUCUAUAAAUCUUUUAGAUUCGGCCACGGGAGGCACUUUGAUGGAAAUCACUUGAGGAGAAGCUACUAAACUCCUAUAUAAUAUUAUGGUUAAUUAUUCUCAAUGGCACAUUGAAAGAUCUACUAGUAAAAAGGUUCAUGCGGUAGAAGAGAUUAAUAUUUUGAGUGGAAAGAUGGAUGAACUUAUGAAAUUGUUUGCUAAUAAGAGUGCUCCUAUUGAUCCUAAUGAUAUGCCUUUGUCUACUUUGAUUGAGAAUAAUAAUGAAUCUAUGGAUGUGAAUUUUCUUGGUAGGAAUAAUUUUGGUAACAACACGUAUAGAGGAAGCUUUAAUCCUAGGCCGUUUCCUAGUAAUUCCUCUAAUAAUUAUGGUAAUUCCUACAACAACUCUUAUGGAAUUUUUAGUAAGAUGCCCUCUGAUUUUGAGAUUGGUGUUAAAUAAUUUAUGAUUUCUCAAAAGAAUUUCAAUGCUUUGCUUGAAGAAAAAUUGCCUAAGAUUGAUGAAUUGGCUAGGAACAUGGAUAGAAUUUCUCUUGAUGUCAAACUUAGAUCUAUUUCACCUAAGCAUGAUAUCAAUGAGUCUCUCAAAUCUAUGAAAAUUUCCAUUGAUGAGUGCAAGGAAAGAACCGCUAGAAUGCGUGUUAAGAAAGAUUGCUUUGUAAAAGAGUGUUCUUCUAGUUUUCAUGAAAAUAGGGAUGAAGAUCUAAAAGUGAUUGAUGUGUCUCCUAUUAAAUCUUUGUUUUGCAAUAUGAAUCUUUAUAAUGAUGGGAAUGGAGAUGAGUCAACUUUAGUUAAGAGGCGUCCCAAUGAUUCAGAGUUUUUAGAUCUUGAUGCAAAAAUUGGUAAAGGUGGGAUUGAAGAGGUCAAAAACUUUACAUAGCAAUGAACCCACUAUUUUGGAUUUCAAGGAAUUUAAUUAUGAUAAUUGUUCUUUAAUAGAUUAUAUUUCCUUGUUGUAAUCCGUGUUAAAUUCUCCUCAUGCUUAUAGUCAAAAUAAAGCUUUUACUAAACAUAUCGUUGAUGCCUUAAUGCAAUCUUAUGAAGAAAAACUUGAAUUAGAAGUUUCUAUACCUAGAAAACUUUAUCAUGAGUCGGAACCUACAAUUAAAAUUAAAAUUAAAGAUCAUGAAUGCUAUGGUUUGUGUGAUUUGGGUGCUAGUGUUUCCACGAUUCCAAAACUUUGUGUGAUGUGUUAGGUUUUCGUGAAAUUGAUGAUUGCUCUUUAAACUAGCACCUUGUGGAUUCCACCAUUAAGAAACCUAUGGGAAGGAUUAAUGAUGUUAUUAUUGUUGCAAAUAGGAAUUAUGUGCCCGUAGAUUUUAUUGUUCUUGAUAUAGAUUGCAAUCCUUCAUGUUAUAUUAUUUUUGGUAGACCUUUCCUUAGAACAAUUGGUGCAAUUAUUGAUAUGAAAGAAGGAAAUAUUAGAUUCCAAUUUCCGUUAAGGAAGGGCAUGGAACACUUUCCUAGGAAGAAAAUUAAAUUACCUUAUGAAUCUAUUAUGAGAGCCACCUAUGAAUUGAAUACCAAAGAUGGCAAUACUUAGAUCUAUUCUCGCUUUUAUGCCUAGCUAGGGGCGUUAAACGAUAGCACUUGUUGGGAGGCAACCCAAUUUUAUUUUUGUUCCUUGCUUUUUGUUCCUGUUUAGUAAUAAAUAAUUCAUCUAGCCUCUGGUUAGAUGUGGUUUUGUGUUUUAAUUAGUGUUUUUUCCAAGUAAAACCUUUAGGAUAACCUACGGUGAUAAUUAACUUGAUCUUGCUGAAAAAUAAAAACUUUUGCACACACGAGAAUGAUUUUCAUAAAUCACAUAAACGUGCUUUUAAGUUGAUUAUUUUUGCAAAUAUUAAUAGACAAAUUACCUAGGACUUCCUAAUUUGGUAGAAUUUGUGAGGUUCCAUAAGUAUUCAAAAGUUACAGAUUGCUACAGACUGUUUUGUUUUUGACAGAUUCUGUUUUUCGUGUGUUGUUUGCUGAUUUUGAUGAAUCUAUGGCUAGUAUCAGGGGUAUGAACCAUAGAGAAGUUGGAAUACAGUAGGUUUAGCACCAAUAUAAAUAAAGAAUGAGUUCAUUACAGUACCUUAAAGUGGUGGUUUGUUUUCUUGUACUAACGGAGCUCAUGAGAUUUUUUGUUGAGUUUUGUGUUGUGAAGUUUUCAAGUUUUUGGGUAAAGAUUUGAUGGUUUAUGGAAUAAGAAGUGGCAAGAGCCUAAGCUUGGGGAUGCCCAAGUCACCCCAAGGUAAAAUUCAAGGACAACCAAAAGCCUAAGCUUGGGGAUGCCCCGGAAGGCAUCCCCUCUUUCGUCUUCGUCCAUCGAUAACUUUACUUGAUGCUAUAUUUUUAUUCACCACAUGAUAUGUAUUUUGCUUGGAGCGUCUUGUAUGAUUUGAGUCUUUGAUUUUUAGUGUACCACAAUCAUCCUUGCUGUACACACCUUUUGGAGAGACACACAUGAAUCAGAAUUUAUUAGAAUACUCUAUGUGCUUCACUUAUAUCUUUUCAGCUAGAUAAUUUUGCUCUAGUGCUUCACUUAUAUAUUUUUAGAGCACGGUGGUGGUUUUAUUUUAUAGAAAUUAUUGAUCUCUCAUGCUUCACUUAUAUUAUUUUGAGAGUCUUUUAGAACAACAUGGUAAUUUGCUUUGGUUAUAAAAUUGGUCCUAAUAUGAUGAGCAUCCAAGAUAGGUAUAAUAAAAACUAUCAUAUAGAGUGCAUUAAACACUAUGAUAAAUUUGAUACUUGAUAAUUUUUUUGAGAUAUAAAGGUGGUAAUGUUAGAGUCAUGCUAGUUGGGUAAUUAUGAAAUUGAGAAAUACUUGUGUUAAAGUUGGCAAGUCCCGUAACAUGCACGUAUGGUGAACAUUGUGUGAUAAAUUUGAAGCAUGGGGUGUUCUUUGAUUGCCUUCCUUAUGAGUGGAGGUCAGGAUCGCGCGAUGGUUAACUCCUACCAGCCCUUCCCCUAGGAGCAUGCGUAGUAGUACUUUGCUUCGAGGGCUAAUAAACUUUUGCAAUAAGUAUAUGAGUUCUUUAUGACUAAUGUGAGUCCAUGUAUUAUACACACUCUUACCCUUCAGCAAUUUGCUAGCCUCUACGGUACUGUGCAUUACCCUUUCUCACCUUGAGAGUUGGUGCAAACUUCGCCGGUGCAUCCAAACCCCGUGAUAUGAUACGCUCUAUCACACAUAAACCUCCUUAUAUCUUCCUCAAAACAGCCACCAUACCUACCUAUUAUGGCAUUUCCAUAGCCAUUCCGAGAUAUAUUGCCAUGCAACUUUCCACCGUUCUGUUUAUUAUGACACGCUCCAUCAUCGUCAUAUUGCUUUGCAUGAUCAUGUAGUUGACAUCGUAUUUGUGGCCAAGCCACCUUUAAAAAAAUUUCAUACAUGUUAUUCUUGAUUCAUUGCAUAUCCCGGUACACCGCCAGAGGCAUUCACGUAGAGUCAUAUUUUGUCCUAAGUAUUGAGUUGUAAUUCUUGAGUUGUAAAUAAAUAGAAGUGUGAUGAUUUCCAUUAUUAGAGAAUUGUCCCAUGUGAGGAAAGGAUGAUGGAGACUAUGAUUCCCCCACAAGUUGGGAUGAGACUCCGGACUUUAUGAAAAAUAAAAGAGGCCAAAGAAGCCCAAAUAAAAAAAAGAGGCCAAAGAAUCCCAUAAAAAAAGAAAAAAAAUGAGACAAAAAUAGAGAAGGGACAAUGUUACUAUCCUUUUACCACAUUUGUGCUUCAAAGUAGCACCAUGAUCUUCAUGAUAGAGAGUCUCCUAUGUUGUCACUUUCAUAUACUAGUGGGAAUUUUUCAUUAUGGAACUUGGCUUAUAUAUUCCAAUGAUGGGCUUCCUCAAAUUGCCCUAGGUCUUCGUGAGCAAGCAAGUUGGAUGCACACCCACUUAGUUUCUUUUUGAUGAGCUUUCAUACAUUUAUAGAUCUAGUGCAUCCGUUGCAUGGCAAUCCCUACUCCUCGUAUUGACAUCAAUUGAUGGGCAUCUCCAUAGCCCGUUUAUUAGCCGCGUUAAUAUGAGACUUUCUCCCUUUUUGUUUUCUCACAUAAUCCCUAUCAUCAUCCUCUACUCCACCCAUAGUGAUAUGUCCAUCGCUUACGCUCAGGUAUUGCGUGAGGGUUGAAAAGGUUGAAGCGAGUUAAAAAGUAUGAACCAAUUGCUUGGUUGAAACCGGGGUUGUGCAUGAUGGGAGCAUUUUGUGUGACGAAAAUGAAGCAUGGCCAAAAUAUAUGAUUUUGUAGGGGUAAGCUUUCUUUGGCUAAGUUAUUUUGAUAAGACAUAAACUGCUUGGUUAGCAUGCUUGAAGUAUUACUAUUUUUAUGUCAAUAUUAAACUUUUAUCUUGAAUCUUUUGGAUCUGAACAUUAAUGCCACAAUAAAGAAAAUUACAUUGAGAAUUAUGCUAGGUAGCAUUCCAUAUCAAAAAUUUUGUUUUUAUCAUUUACCUACUCAAGCACGAGCAGGAAUUAAGCUUGGGGAUGCUUGAUACGUCUCCAAUGUAUCUAUAAUUUUUUAUUGUUCCAUGCUAUUAUAUUACCUGUUUUGGAUGUUUAAUCGGCUUUAUUAUGCACUUUUAUAUUAUUUUUGGGACUAACCUAUUAACCGGAGGCCCAGUCCAAAUUGAUGUUUUUUUGCCUAUUUCAGUGUUUCGUAGAAAAGGAAUAUCAAACGGAGUCCAAAUGGAAUGAAACCUUUGGGAGAGUUAUUUUUGGAACAAACGCAAUCCAGGAGACUUGGAGUGGACGUCAAGAAAGAAACGAGGAGGCCACAGGCAGGAGGGCGCGCCUAGGGGGCUAGGCGCGCCCCACCCUCGUGGGUCCCUCGUGGCUCCCCUGACCGAAUUCCUUCGCAUAUAUAUACUCAUAUACCCCGAAAACAUCCAGGAGCACCACGAAACCCUAUUUCCACCACCGCAACCUUCUGUACCUGUGAGAUCCCAUCUUGGGGCCUUUUCCAGCGCUCCACCAGAGGGGGAAUCGAUCAUGGAGGGCUUCUACAUCAACACCAUAGCCUCUCCGAUGAAGUGUGAGUAGUUUACCACAAACCUUCGGGUCCAUAGUUAUUAGCUAGAUGGCUUCUCUCUCUUUGAAUCUCAAUACAAAGUUAUCCUCGAUCUUCUUGGAGAUCUAUUCGAUGUAAUUCUUUUUGCGGUGUGUUUGUCGAGAUCCGAUGAAUUGUGGGUUUAUGAUCAAGAUUAUCUAUGAGCAAUAUUUGAAUCUCCUCUGAAUUCUUUUAUGUAUGAUUUGUUAUCUUUGCAAGUCUCUUCGAAUUAUCAGUUUGGUUUGGCCUACUAGAUUGAUCUUUCUUGCAAUGGGAGAAGUGCUUAGCUUUGGGUUCAAUCUUGCGGUGUUCUUUCCCAGUGAUAUCAGGGGCAGCAAGGCAUGUAUUGUAUUGUUGCCAUCGAGGAUAAAAAGAUGGGGUUUAUAUCAUAUUGCUUGAGUUUAUCCCUCUAUAUCAUGUCAUCUUGCCUAAUGUGUUACUCUAUUCUUAUGAACUUAAUACUCUAGAUGCAUGCUGGAUAGCGGUCGAUGUGUGGAGUAAUAGUAGUAGAUGCAGAAUCGUUUCGAUCUACUUGUCGCAGAUGUGAUACCUAUAUACAUGAUUAUGUCUAGAUAUUCUCAUAAUUAUGCACUUUUCUAUCGAUUGCUCGACAGUAAUUUGUUCACCCACCGUAAUACUUAUGCUAUCUUGAGAGAAGCCACUAGUGAAACCUAUGGCCCCCAGAUCUAUUUUCCAUCAUAUAAGUUUCUGAUCUAUUUUAUUUUGCAAUCUUUACUUUCCAAUCUAUAUCAUAAAAAUACCAAAAAUAUUUAUCUUAUUAUCUCUAUCAGAUCUGACUUUUGCAAGUGGCCGUGAAGGGAUUGACAACCCCUUUAGCGCAUUGGUUGCUAGGUUCUUAUUUGUUUGUGUAGGUACGAGUGAUUUGCGUGUAGCCUCCCACAGGAUUGAUACCUUGGUUCUCAAAAACUGAGGGAAAUACUUACGCUACUUUGCUGCAUCACCCUUUCCUCUUCAUGGGAAAACCAACGCAUGCUCAAGAGGUAGCAAUUAACUCCCAGCCGAGUCAAGUGAUUAUGGUACCCAGACAUUCUGAGUAUGUGCUCACUAACAGAACUUAUCUCCUCCAUCUUGCAGCUAUAAAACUUGUUGGAGACUUCAUAUCUCUCAACUCGGGCAUUUGCUUGAAAUAUCAACUUCAACUACUGGAACAUCUUAUAUGGUCCAUGACGUUCAAAACGUCUUUGAAGUCCCGAUUCUAAGACGUAAAUCAUGGCACACUGAACUAACAAGUAGUCAUCAGAUCGAGCCUGCCACGCGUUCACAACGUCAGCUUCUGCUCCUGCAGCAGGCCUUGCACCUAGCGGUGCAUCAAGGACAUAAUUCUUCUGUGCGGCAAUGAGGAUAAUCCUCGAGUUAUGGACCCAGUCUGUGUAGUUGCUACCAUCAUAUUUCAACUUAGCUUUCUCUAGGAACACAUUAAAAUUCAAAGGAACGGUAGCACGGGCCAUUGAUCUACAACAUGGAUAUGCAAAAAACUAUCAGGACUAAGUUCAUGAUAAAUUAAGUUCAAUUAAUCAUAUUACUUAAGAACUCCCACUUAGAUAGACAUCCCUCUAGCCAUCUAAAUGAUACGUGAUCCAAAUCAACUAAACCAUGUCCGAUGGAGUAGUCAUCAAUGGUGAACAUCACUAUGUUGAUCAUAUCUACUAUAUGAUUCAAGUUCGGCCUUUCGGUCUCCAGUGUUCCGAGGCCAUAUCUGUAUAUGCUAGGCUCGUCAAGUUUAACCCGAGUAUUCUGUGUGUGCAAAUUUGGCUUGCACCCGUUUUAUUUGAACGUAGAGUUUAUCACACCCGAUCAUCACAUGGUGUCUCAGCACGAAGAAAUUUCGCAACGGUGCAUACUCGGGGAGAACACUUAUACCUUGAAAUUUUAGUGAGGGAUCAUCUUAUAAUGCUACCAUCGUACUAAGCAAAAUAAGAUGCAUUAAAGAUAAACAUCACAUGCAAUCAAAAUAUGUGACAUGAUAUGGCCAUCAUCAUCUUGUGCUUUUGAUCUACAUCAUCGAAGCAACGUCAUGAUCUCCAUCGUCACCGGCUUGACACCUUGAUCUCCAUCAUAGUGCCGUGGUCGACUGGUCGUCUCACCAACCAUUGCUUCUACGACUAUCGCUGCCGCUUAGUGAUAAAGUAAAGCAAUUACAUAGCGCUUGUAUUUCAUACAAUAAAGCGACAACCAUAUGGCUCCUGCCAGUUGUCGAUAACUUCUACAAAACAUGAUCAUCUCAUACAACAAUCUUUAUAUCACAUCAUGUCUUGACCAUAUCACAUCACAACAUGCCCUGCAAAAACAAGUUAGACGUCCUCUACUUUGUUUGUUGCAAGUUUUACGUGGCUGCUAUGGGCUUCUAGCAUGAACCAUACAUACUUACGGCACAAAAACCACAACGGUGAUUUAUCAAGUUUGCUGUUUUAACCUUCACAAGGACCGGCCGCAGUCAAAUUCGAUUCAACUAAAGUUGGAGAAACAGACACCCGCCAGCCACCUUUAUGCAAAACUAGUUGCAUGUCUGUCGGUGGAACCGGUCUCAUGAACGCGGUCAUGCAAGGUUGGUCCGGGCUGCUUCAUCCAACAAUACCGCCAAAUCAAAAUAACACAUUGGUGGUAAGCAAUAUGAAAAUCACCGCCCACAACUCUUUGUGUUCUAGUCGUGCAUAUCAUCUACGCAUAGACCUGGCUCGAAUGUCACGGUUGGGAAACGUAGCAUGCAAUUUCAAAAAAAUUCCUACGCUCACGCAAGAUCUAUCUAGGAGAUGCAUAGCAACGAGAGGGGGAUAUUGUGUCCACGUACCCUCGUAGAUCGAAAGUGGAAGUGUUAACUUAACGCGGUUGAUGUAGUCAAACGUCUUCUCAAAUCAACCGAUCAAGUACCGAACGUAUGACACCUCCGAGUUCUGCACAUGUUCAACUCGAUGACGUCCCUCAAACUCUUGAUCCAGUAGAGUCACAAAGGAGUCAAUGAUUUACAUCAACACGACGGCGUGAUGACGGUGUUGCAUGUGAUCCGCGCAGGGCUUCUCCUAAGCACUACGAUAAUAUGACCGGAGGACUAAACGAUGGAGGGGGGCACCACACACGGCUAAACAAUUGAUGUGCUUUGGGGUGCCCCCCUGCCCCCGUAUAUAAAGGAGGAGGGGAGGAGUCCGGCCACAAGGGGUGUGCCAAGGAGGGGGAGUCUCACUAGGAUUCCUAGUCCUAGUAGGAUUCACCCCCCCUCUUUUCCUUCUCAUGGAGGGGGAAAAGGGAGAGGGAAGAGGAGAAGGAAAGGGGGGGCUCCCCUAGUCUAAUUCGGACUCCCCAUGGGUGGGGGGUGCGGCUUCCCCUUGUGGGCUGCCUCCCCUCUCCCCUAUGGCCCAUGUAGGCCUAACAAUUCUCCGGGGGGGGGGGGUCCGGUAACCUCCCGGUACUCCGAAAAAUACCCGAACCUUUUCGAAACCAUCCCGGUGUCCGAAUAUCAUCGUCCAAUAUAUCAAUCUUUAUCGCUCGACCAUUUCGAGACUCCUCGUCAUGUCCGUGAUCUGAUCUGGGACUCCGAACUACCUUCAGUCACCAAAACACAUAACUCAUGUAAUACAUAUUGUCAUUGAACGUUAAGCGUGCGGACCCUACGGGUUUGAGAACUAUGUAGACAUGACCGAGACACCUCUCCGGUCAAUAACCAAUAGCGGAACCUGGAUGCUCAUAUUGGUUCCCACAUAUUCUCCGAAGAUCUUUAUCGGUCGAACCGCAAUGUCAACAUAUGUUAUUCCCUUUGUCAUCAGUAUGUUACUUGCCCGAGAUUCGAUCAUCGGUAUCUUCAUACCUAGUUCAAUCUCAUUACCGGCAAGUCUCUUUACUCGUUCCGUAGUGCAUCAUCCCGUAACUAACUCAUUAGUCACAUUGCUUGCAAGCUCUUCAUAUGGUAUGCAUUACCGAGAGGGCCCAGAGAUACCUCUCCGAUACUUGGAGUGACAAAUCCUAAUCUCGAUCUAUGCCAACCCAACAGACACCUUCGGAGAUACCUGUAGAGCAUCUUUAUAGUCACCCAGUUAUGUUGUGAUGUUUGAUAGCACAUAAGGCAUUCCUCCGGUGUCCGAGAGUUGCAUAAUCUCAUAGUCGGAGGAAUAUAUAUUUGACACGAAGAAAGGAGUACCGAUAAAACUGAACGAUCAUUAUGCUAAGCUAACGGAUGGGUCUUAUCCAUCACAUCAUUCCACUAAUGAUGUGAUCCCGUUUAUCAAAUGAAAACUCAUGCCCAUGGCUAGGAAACUUAACCAUCUUUGAUCAACGAGCUAGUCUAGUAGAAGCAUACUAGGGACACAUAGUUUUGUCUAUGUAUUCACACAUGUAUUAAGUUUCUGGUUAAUUCAAUAAUAAUCAUUUAUCAUGAAUAAGGAAACAUAAAAUAACAACUUUAUUAUUGCCUCUAGGGCAUAUUUCCUUCACUAUCCACCUGCAUCUAUCAAUCUCAUAUGAAAAUAAUUGCAAUGUUGGUAGAAAGGGACACCCUACCGUGUAUUGAACAAUGCAUACCUUGUUACCCAGUUGAGUACAGUAGAUGGUCUUUUUCACACUAAAUGUCCGAAAUUGAGCACAUCGUGAAAUUUUGAUGAGCAAAUUUUUUUUUCUACCAGCGCCGAGCGAAACCAUUUUUGCAUCAGUUGUUAUAGCAUACGUUAAGAGAUUUUUGACAACCAAACACGGUCCAACCCAGUUCUGCUAGGUAGCAUGUGGUACUCUAUAGUAUUGUUGAUACACAAUGUUUUAGGAUAAUCCGAUCCUUUCUAAUAUGGUUAUCAUAUUUAUCGAUAAAAUAUAAAUUAUGGACUUACAACAUGUUAACAGAACAUUUUUAUGAGAUGAUUUGAUGGUUGCUAUUGUUUAAUUAUGAAAUUUUAAUACUACAUCCAAUCCAAAAUAAGUGUCGUGGUUUUGAACUAAGGUUAGUUCAAGCUUGGUUCAAAACUACUACACUUAUUUUGGAUCGGAGGGAGUGCCUUUUAGUGUCUUAUGUUUGCUGAUUAUGCUUAUGUAAAAAUAUGUGCUCAUCGAUAUGUGUAAGUCAGUCUUCAUAUCAAUUUCACAUAUUGGUCUAUAGUUUUCUAUACCACAUGAUUUUGUAGUUAAUAACAUUUGUUUGUCUAUGCACAUGUUGCACUAGUGCAAAAACAACAUCGUUGAUGGUUUACGGAAGGACCAUCAUUGGUACCAAUGACAAUGGUGGCCGCAGAAAUUGACGGUUAGUGGUAAGUUCAAAAGCAAACCAACAUCUGAUGAAAAAUUCAUCAAAAGUUAGAUGGUCAUUGCUGAUCUUAUUACCACUCCAGAUUUGAUAUGAAUGACAUGGCUAAUUUAUUUUGUCUAUAUUAUUAUGCAUACUAAUGACGAGCCUAAUCUUGGUUGGCCAAUGGUGGCAAAGAGGCCCAAAACAGAAUCCCUAACUCCACAUAUCAAUGUUUCUCUUACUGCACUCCUUUUUCUCCCCACCGCCAUACUCCUCUCAUGUUUGGUAUCGACCCCAUGACUCCUCUAUCGCUCUUGAUUUCUUCUCCUUCUCCUAAUAGGGUUUCCCCCACCACCACUGGCCUCCCCACCUUACACUACCGUCACCUCCUUGUCGUCUUUUGCUCCCCGCCUCCUCAUUUUUCUCCGCUGGAGCCACCUGUCUCUUCUCUGUCCACUACCGAGGAGGAGGAUAUGUUUGUCGAGGAGUUGGACAAAGAGGUAUGAUGGAGGCUGGUGAGAGAGGAGGCGAAGAUGAGACCUUCCAAGGCCAAGGAUGUUGUGGUUGUCAACUACGAUCCAGAGUUCGUUGCGAGCCCAUUCGUCUGGUGGUGGAAACUAUUGGAUAUAUGCCUUAGAGGCAAUAAUAAUUUGGUUAUUAUCAUAUUUCUCGUUCAUAAUAAAUGUUUAUUAUUCAUGCUAGAAUUGUAUUGUCUGGAAACUUAAAUACAUGUGUGGGUAUAUAAACUACACCCCUAGUAAGCCUCUACUAGACUAGCUCGUUGAUCAAAGAUGGUUAUGGUUUCCUAACCAUAGACAUGAGUUGUCAUUUGAUAAUUGGAUCACAUCAUUAGGAUAAUGAUGUGAUGGACAAGACCCAACUGUAAGCUUAGCAUAUGAUCGUAUCACCUUAGUUCUUGCUACGGAUUUCUUGAUGUCAAGUAUCAGUUCCUUACACCAUGAGAUCAUGCCACUCCCAGAUACCGGAGGAAUACUUUUUUCUAUCAAACGUCACUUCGUAACUGGGUGAUCAUAAAGGUGCUCUACAGGUAUCUCUGAAGGUGUCUGUUGGGUUGGCAUGGAUCGAGACUGAAAUUUGUCACUCCGUAUGACGAAGAGAUAUCUCUGGGCCCUCUCGGUAAUACAACAUCGUUAAGGGGAAAAGAGUCCUAAGGGGAUAAUACAGAUCUGCCGGAGACAGACCUCCACACGCCCACCGAUGAUGUAGUGUCAAAAAAACGCCUUACAUUAUGGAAUGUAGGGAGUAUUUGUGUACUUCUGGUGCUUGAUACUUGGACUUUAAUAAUACAGAUUUGCCAAUAUAUGGUUGUGUGCAUAGAAAAAACCCCGACAGGGGAAGUUUGUUCCAGUGCCCUGUCAUGGGGAUUGGGCACUUGUCACGCAAUGCCAUACACCCGGUAUCUUUUUUUAGGGUAACACAUACCGCUUUAUUUCAGAACAGUCUGGGAUCUUAUCAAAGACCACAUCUAACACAAAAUCUGGAGGCACCAUUAGCCUAACCUUACAUAACUCUUCUCAUGUCCGUACCUUAGCUAACUUGUGUGGGGUGUUAUUAGCAGCCCUCAUACCCAUGACAGUUUCACAUCGUUGAACCAAGAGGUAAAUACACUAGAAGUCUUAGAACUUGCGUGUGACGGUCAGUUUGAUACACAAACUUGCAAAAUACGUGUUUCUGGUCAUCUAACUUAUGCGGACGUGCAAAUACGGUCACAUUAUCCGUACGUGGGUAUAUUCGCUGCCUACAUGGCACACCAACAUGGCCAGGGCCGAUGUUUUUUUUUUCAAAAACACCCUCAAUUUUCCACUUUGUACAAAAGCACUCCAACAAUAGUUGUCGCCGGGUCCCACUAUCGGUGUAAAGUUGUAAAUAUAUUGGGCCCAUUGUCAGUGGCUAGUGCACGUGAUGUUUUUUUUCUAGAAACACGCUCAUUUUUUUACUUUGUACAAAAGCACUCCAACAAUAGUUGUCCACUGGGUCCUACGGCAGUGUAAAUUGUAAAUAUAUUAGGCUGGAAAAAAUGGGACGGGCGAGUUCUAACCAACGACCUAUUGUAAUGGAACCUAUCCACCACAGCUGAUUGUACUUGGUAUUUCAUUUCGACUACUAAGGUAUGUCACCUCCAAAAUAGAAGUGCACAUUCUGAAUAUAUUUUCAUUUCUCUAGAGUUUCAAAUUUACAGUUAUUCAGAUUCAAACAAAUUUUCAGAUGAAUUGUUUGAAAUAAAAUUACGUACAUUCAUUCUGCGCUAUAUUUUCUUUUGUCUAGAUUUUUUAAUCUAAAAUUAUUUGAAUUCAAAUAAAAUUUAUUUAUUUAUUCCGUAAAAAAUAUACAUGCAUUCAUUCUGACCUAUGUUUUCUUUUACCUAUAUUUUCCAAUUUAAAAUUAUUUGAAUUUGAACAAAAUUUCCGUUGACCUGUUUGAAAGAAACUUAAGUACAUUCAUUAUGAACUAUAUUUAUUUUAUGUAGAUUAUUAAAAUUCAAAUAAAAAUUAGUUGAUUUGUCCGAAAAAAAUUACGUACAUUCAUUCUGACCCAUAUUUUAUUUUAUCUAGAUUUUCAAAUUUAAAACUAUUCAAAUUCAAGCAAAUUUUUGUUGAUUUGUCCCCAAAAAAUACGUACAUUCAUUGGGCACUAUAUUUCCUUUUAUCGUUAUUUUCAAAUUUUAAAUUAUUUGAAUUCAAACAAAAAAUUAGAUGAUUUGUCCAAAAUACUAUAUUCCCUUUUCUCGUUUGGUUUCUACUUUAACUCGUACGGUUUAUCUUAUAUAACGCUAAUUGUGCUCUAUAAACGUCAACAGUAAGGAGGUCAAGUGGCUAUUUAAGCGAGGCGAAUCAUAGCAGGUCAUGUGUUUGAAUCCUGUUGCCGCUCUAGCACUUUUCAUUUUAUUUAAGGAUUUUCAGCAUAAAUAAAUAAAAUGCAAGGGUGCUUUUAAAAAAAACAAUGCAUGCGGAUUACCCACUGCAUCAGCCACUGACAAUGGGCCCAUGCCACAUUGGCAAGCCAAGCGUGCACAUGAUACGGUAGAAAGCACCGUAUAUGAACGGAAAGACAAGUUAGAUGACCAGAAACAUGUAUUUUACAAAUUUAUGCACCAAAUUGAUCGUCACGUGCAAGUUUUGUGACUUGUGGUGUAUUUACCUCUUGAACCAACUAAGCAUCCGCUUGAUCUCCUCUACUAGCAGCUGUGAAGGUGACGUAGUCCCAGCGUAUUACGAGCCUGUAGAACCGCCCCCUCGAAGGGUCACGUCGAAGCGGCACCACGCUCGCGCCACAGGCGUAGCACCCACGAUUUGCCGCUGGAGCAGUAUCGCCGAGGUCCAUGUACGUACUAUCGGCACAUCAAUCCCAUCCAGAAACCAGAGUCUCACUCGCAAACCCAGCGGUCCGCAGGGCGCGCGCGCACACGCACAGACACGGUGGACCGGUGGCCAGUCUACACGCCGGACAAGUGACGGCAUCACCGCGUGCGCCGGACGGCGGCUAGACGUGGUGAGGUACGUACGAAAUACCCCCGUUUGGUUUCUCUCCGUGUGCCGCUAGCUCGGCCUCCCAUCCAUCUGCAAGCCGUGCAGUGCGUAAUGGAGCCACUGCUCCACGCCUCCCUCGGUGGCAAUACGUACGUAGUCGCAGGCCGAGCCACAGGCGCGUAGCACCACCACGCCAGCCUCCCUCACCUCUGCUCAGCUGCCCGGUGGCCAGUGGGGAUCAAGCCAGCCGUAAAAAAGAGGCAAAGCAAAGCAAGGGCGAGAGAGAGAGAGGGUUUUUGUUUUUUUUAGUUUUUUUUGGGGGUUUGGGUUGGGUUGGGGCACGGAGCGCCUGCGCGAAUGAGGAAUCAUGGCUGAUGCCUGAUGGCUUCCGCCCUCGAAAGGUCGGCAUCUUUAUCCCAUUCCCAUUGUUGGCAAGGGAGGGGAGCGAGAAGAAGCAGCAAAAGGCGCACACCGUAUGUAGUAGUAUGUAUCAUUGCCCUCUACUCACUCUACUACUGCCCCGCCCAGGCCCAUCCUACAUCCUACUACACCUCACUCUACACCGUACCGCCACCACCGCGUCCGCGGCCCGGGAGGUAGGGCUCCUCCGCGCGUGCUCCCGGGCCUGCCUCUGCCUGCCUAGCACCAGUGCACCACACCCUCCACUCCACCGCUUUGCUUUGCAUCGCCUCGCCUCGCCUUUAUCAGAGGCAGAGCGCCCCCAGCCCCAGCCCCUCCUCUUAUUACGCUCGCUCCGGCACUUGCACUUGCCCGGCCCGUCCGUGCCUUCCUCCUCGGAGACAUUGUUGGCGCUCUGCUUCUGCGGGACAAGGUAGGUUCUCCACCUCUCCUUCUCCCCCCCAUUUCUCCGAUUACCUCCUAUCGACUCUCCACCGGUUAGUGCUAGCUUCCAAUGCCGCCGGCGACCUAUGCUUCGGCUCUUGGAAAUGGAGUCGGAAGUCUGCGGCGUUCUCCACACGGGCUCACCGCACCUGCUGCAUGGGGUUUCGUCGUCUUCUCACUCUUGUGAAAUGCCUCACACCCCACGCCUCGCCUCGCCUCGCCUGCUUAAAGGACUAGUUCUAGCAGUGAUCCUAUAGGAUAGGAAGGGUGGGGCGUUCCCCUUGUUCGACCCCACCCCACGCCACGCCAUGCUCCAGGCCGCCGCGAGCUCGCUUCCCAGGAGACGGCAUUCCGUCGAGCACCUAAGCUCUACUAGUAUGUAUAGCAAGAUUCCCGGCGCCAUUUUGCUCUGCGCCUAGCUCCAGCCCCUGUCGGCUCUCGGCUCUCGCGUCGCGUGAAAACACAAAAGCCGCCUUCCCUUCUUUCUCGGGAAAGUGGGGCAGGGGCGGGUUUUCAGCCAGCCAUGCGGACCCAACCCGAGCUCUCACUCUAGCUUCCUGCUACUGCUACUAGCUCGCCAUUCCGAACGCAUUUUUUUGGGGCCUUCUUGCAUACAUACUCCUGCCUGCCUGCUUGCUUGCUUGCUUGCUCACACACACUGAACUGACAGGCAUCCUCUGCUUCUCUUGCGACGACCUGCAGGCACUCUGAUCUCCGAGAAUCUGUGAUUGAUUGAUUGAUCAAUGGCGAAGUCUGGCUAUUAAGCUGCUCGUUUGCCAGUCGGUGCACCCAGCUCAAGCUCGAGCUCGAUUCAGCAGCGACUCUUUAGCUUGGAUUUGGUCGGGGGAGAUACAUGGCGGCGGCCUCGCAGGAGAAGCAGCAGCAGCAGCUGCCGGCGUUCGGCGUGCUGAGGAACGCGGCGGCGCUGCUCGACGAAAUGCAGCUCAUGGGGGAGGCGCAGGGCGCCAAGAAGGUGAUCAACUCGGAGCUCUGGCACGCCUGCGCCGGCCCGCUCGUCUGCCUGCCGCAGCGCGGGAGCCUCGUCUACUACUUCCCCCAGGGCCACAGCGAGCAGGUCCGUCUGAAUCCUUCUACUGCAUCAACAGUCCUGCUCUGCUCUCAACUGUUUUAGAUCACCUGAUGACUUCAUGCAUGGAUUGCUCAAGUUUUUCUUGAUCUGCCAGGUCGCGGCCACCACCAAGAAGACACCCAACUCUCGGAUCCCGAACUACCCGAGCCUGCCGUCGCAGCUGCUGUGCCAAGUCCACAACAUCACCAUGCAUGUAAGUUUAUAUUGUUCAUCUUCAGGUUCAGGUCAGGUGUAGGGUUCAUCUUCAGGUUCAGCUGCCUAUGCAGCCUGAUGAAUGCUUGUAUUUUGCACAGGCCGACAAGGACACUGACGAGGUCUACGCGCAGAUGACUCUUCAACCAGUGAACUCUGUAAGUACUGUCGGAAAUGGAGCUUGGUGAAAAAUUCAGAACAUGCUGAACUGUAUUUUCUCUACAGUGUUCACUGAAAGUGUAAAACUGUCACACCUGAUUCGAAGAUCCUGUCAAUUUCAGGAAACCGACGUGUUCCCGAUCCCGUCUCUCGGAAGCUAUGCCAAGAGCAAGCAUCCAGCCGAGUAUUUCUGCAAGAAUUUGACAGCGAGCGAUACGAGCACGCACGGCGGUUUCUCGGUGCCGCGAAGAGCCGCCGAGAAGCUGUUCCCACAGCUGGUAUACAUCAGCAUCUUGUCCACAUUUUCAUUUACCUACUUGGUUAUUCAUUGUGAAUGCUUCAGCUCAUGCAUAGGUUAUGUCUUUGGACUUGCAGGAUUACUCGAUGCAACCUCCGAACCAGGAGCUUAUCGUGCGAGAUUUGCAUGAUAACAUGUGGACGUUUCGUCACAUUUAUCGUGGUAGGGUCGAAUGCUGUUUGACCUGCUUUUAACUUGUUCAUUCAUUCAAGGGUAUAUAAUUUGGGUGUCCUGGGUCACUGUCUUCUAAAAGUUUCUUCAUUUGGUGCUUCUUGCAGGGCAGCCGAAGCGACAUCUUCUAACGACUGGAUGGAGCCUCUUUGUCGGCGCAAAACGGCUUAAAGCAGGGGAUUCUGUCUUAUUUAUCAGGUAUAUGCAUGGACCCAACUUGUAUGAUACACUAGUAUGAAUAUUUUUGGGAUCUUAACCAAAUGCAUCUUGCACUACUGCAUCUGAAAAGGUUCAGACUAUGGUAUUGGUGUGAACUCUUAAUUAUUGGAUGGAAUGAACCAUAUGGAUUAUGGAGACAGUUCCUGCAUUGAACUGCCAUCAUAUUUAGGGGCUACAAUGUUGGUUAAAGUGUAGAAUCAAUCUCAAAUUAUGUGCAUGUUAUUAAGAUGUAACAAAUGUACUAUAUUAAUCGAUUACUUAUUGGUCUUUCUACUAUCUGUUUACAGACAUUUCCAACUUGCUGAAUUCAAUUUUUUCAUGCAGCCGUAGCUGUACUGAACUUACACAUUUAAGCUACCCUGAUUAGUGCUAUGAUGCUAUGUGGCAGACACCAAACCUUUACUCAACCAGACUGGGAACAACUUAUAUUACCUAAAGGAUUUCCACUCGGUGAAUUUGUGAGAACCGAACGUCCAUUCCUGACAAAAGUUACUGGUUUCAGGGAUGAGAAGUCACAACUACUUGUCGGUGUUAGGCGUGCCACCAAUCAGCAAACAGCAUUGUCAUCUUCGGUUCUGUCCACUGAUAGCAUGCACAUCGGUGUUCUGGCUGCUGCAGCUCAUGCUGCAUCAAGUGGUAGUUCAUUUACCAUUUACUACAAUCCUAGGUACAAAAUCUUUCUCCAUCUCCAUUUUGCCUGCCAGUUCAUAUGGUUUACUGGUGGCAUAUUUUAACAUAUAUACGCUCUUGAAAUCUCUUCAGAACGAGCCCAUCGCCGUUUGUAGUUCCUGUUGCGAGGUAUAAUAAGGCCAACUAUAUCCAGCAAUCAGUUGGCAUGAGAAUGGCUAUGAUGUUUGAGACAGAGGAGUCAAGCAAGCGCAGGUUUGUCCACUAACUAGAACUAAAUACUUUGUCAUAGGCAGAUAGCAUAUUUUUUCUGCUUUUGAUUUGAUGCUCUGUAUUCUACUCCAGUAAACUGCAACUGAUGUUAGAAGGCAAUAUAUACUGUCAUGCUUUCAAGUUUAAAUUACUUGUUCUGCAAAUCUUUCUCACUUUCAUCUUUGAGAAAAAUGACCAUAUCAAGCCACCUCUAGAAUAUUGAGUAGUAGUAUAAUGCAAUAUACCAUUCACUUAUGAAGGUUUAGCACCAUCUUUCAAUGUGUAUGCUCGGUGAAGUUGUUCUGCAUCAUAUCUGAAUAAAAAUGUAUCUGUUUGACAGAUACACUGGUACAAUUGUGGGAGUUAGCGACUCUGAUCCGAUGAGAUGGCCCAACUCCAAAUGGCGCAACUUGCAGGUGCCUUGCUUUCCUUCCAAAAAACUUGAAUGAACCUACCUGCCUAUCAUCAUGUAGCCAUCCUUAUGUACAUUGCAUUAACAGAUUGAAUGGGAUGAACAUGGAUACGGAGAAAGACCCGAGCGUGUGAGCAUAUGGGACAUUGAAACUCCGGAGAACACUAUAGUGUUCCCUUCCGCAUCAUUGAAUUCGAAGCGACAAUGCCUGCCUGGUUAUGGAGGUACUUCUCAACCAUGCUUUAUUACUUGCAGUACCUGGGGUAGUGACUGAGUCUGAAAAUAUUUGUUGUACCAUUUCGUAAGUUGGAAACUAACCCUUUUUUUUUACUUGCAGUGCCUGGGCUAGAUAUUGCAUCUGUAAAUAUGUCACCAUUUCAAAGGGCACCUGGAAAUCCAUAUGGUAACUUGCAGCAUAUGCCCGCCGUUGGAUCAGAAUUGGCUAUGAUGAUGUUUCUGAAUCAAUCUGGCCAAAACAUAGGGACUCCACUCAGUUGUCACCAGUCCUCUUAUUCUAGUAUUAUUCAAAAUGUCAAGCAAAACUACAUGCCUCCUUCAACAUUUGGUCAUCCCAUUGGUUCAAUAAAGCCAGAAAGCAUGCCUUCCAAUGAAGCCCAGCAGCAGCAGCUGCAUGCUCCUAAGAUGCAGAGAGGCAAUUCAGAAAGCUGUGAAGUUCAGCCUGCCACUGAUUCAGUUUCUGCGUCGGAGCUACAUGCUGCAGGAAGAGAGCCAAGAUACACAGAUAAAUCUCCAAGUCAAAGCAUUUCAGAGCAAAAUGGCAAGGGUGAGCCUAGAGUCAAGCCUCGGAGGAGCAAGAAAGGCUCAUCUCACAAAACCAUUUCAGAGAAUUCUGAACUUUCUUCGGCACCUUCACGGUUUUGCGAUGACCAACAACAUGUUUCAGAAGCAGAACUAGUCAGUUGUGACACCAAACAUGUUAACUGUGGUAACAAUGAAGGUUCAUCUGGUGCACUUACUCAUGGUGAUUUUGCUGGACAGCUGCAGUGUCAGCAGGUCGAACAAAAUGAACUAGUGUCACCACCAAAGUUGGAAUCAUCAAUAUCACCUGAUGGAGGGAAGUCAGUUAACUCAUUUCCCAACCAGGCGUCUUUUUCGCAGUUCUUCGAUGGUCUGGAUUGGAUGGUUCAGCCUCCCUAUUACCAAGACUCCAAUGGGAUUCAGUCAGUUAGUGCAUCAGAGAACAUCUUCAGUCCAUCUGCUAAUAUAGGUUCCACAAUAAAUACUGAUACUCUGGAGACUUUUCAGAAUUCUUGCCUCUCAGACUGCUUCCCCAAUUCCAUACAAGACUUCAUCGGCAGCCCGGAUCUGCAUUCACUAACAUUUCUGUCACCUGAGAUGCAAAAUCUGGAUGUCCACCACGACGGAAGCAACGUACCGAGCACAUCCAACUCGUAUGUACAAAUGAGCUUCUCUGAAGAUGAUAGUGGAAGUCACAUGGAAUCCAUUCAAAGAGGAAUGAAUAACAUCUCUUCUUGCUCUCAACCACAGACUACCGAGGGCUUUAAUCUGGGAAUGUACUCGAAGUUGCCAAGUUUGAAGGAGUCUCAGGUUUUGUCUCUGCCAGAGAUCCAUAACAGUUCCAGGGGCACAUCAUCAUGCAGCAUGGAUGCAGCAGAGUACAGCAUUGACCGAAGCGCAAAGCCGUUGAAACCACCGGUGCGGACAUACACAAAGGUAUGGUACUACAACACUUCCAAGUAGGCAGCAUUUGCUGAAACUUCUCUGAUAAUGAGAUUGUAACUUCAAGCUUUUGCUUAUGCUAAUGUUAUCUUCUGAUCCAUGACAAGCAGGUUCAAAAGCUAGGAUCUGUUGGAAGAUCUAUCGAUGUCACGCGGUAUAGAGAUUACCGUGAGCUGAGAUCAGCCAUCGCAUCCAUGUUUGGGCUCCAGGGGAAGCUCGAGCACCCUGCAAGUUCAGACUGGAAGCUAGUGUACGUCGACUACGAAAACGAUGUGCUUCUUGUUGGCGACGAUCCAUGGGAGUAAGUAUCUGCAGCUCUGUUUCUUGACAAAAUCCAGCAUAACACAUCCCUUGGGUUAAUCCAUGUCCUAAUGUAGUACUCCCUCCGUAAAGAAAUAUAAGAGUGUUUUGAUCACUAAAAUAGUAAUCUAAACACUUCUAUAUUUCUUUACAGAGUGAGUACAGUUCUUAGGAAUUCUUCACUCACUCACUCACUCACUGACCGUAUUGUGCUCCUCUGAAUCUUGGCAGGGAAUUCAUCAACUGCGUGCGAUGCAUCCGGAUCCUAUCACCUUCAGAAGUACAGCAGAUGAGCGAGAACGGCAUGCAAGUCUUGAACGACUGCAUCCAAGCAGACCAGUAGGCCAACUCACUGAUCAGGAUGCGUCUGGAAAAUCAAAAUAAAGCAGAGAGCAAGAUUAAGCUAGAUUGCUGUUCUGAACACAGUAGUGCCUUCCUUAGUUAAUUGUAGGCUGAUUUUUUGACAGUGUAUUUUGGUAGGGGAUUUAGAUUUACCAGCGUUUUGUGUGGUGUUAUCAUCAUCUUUCCCAAAUGCUGAAGAACCCCCAGGCAGUUUGCUGUGCGAUUGCUACUUCCAGUGCUUGUUUGUGAUGAUGCGCAUUAUAGAGAGAGCCUGAUGUCUCAACACCAGUGUAAAUGUUAGGAUUUGGGUUGUCAAUUGUAGAUUCAUUUACAACUACUCCCUCCUUUCCUAAAUAUUUGUCUUUCUAGAGAUUUCAACGAGGGACUACAUACGGAGCAAAAUGAGUGAAUCUACACUCUAAAAUAUGUUUAUAUACAUCCGUAUGUGGUAGUCUAUUUGAAAUCUCUAAAAAGAUAAAUAUUUAGGAACGGAGGGAGUAGUUUGACAGGUGUGGAUCUUUGUUGGCAAUGGUGGGUGCCCUGCUCAGCAUCACUCACUGCACUCUCUAUGUCAGUUGCUCUGUUGCAUAACCCUAUAUAUAUGUACACAAAUGCUAUGCAGAUAGGGCUUUUUUCGCGUACCUGGAUCUGGAUCUGGAGCUACAUUCUCUGUUGUCGCCUCAUGUGUCGUUUUCGUCAGUAUAAAAAUGCAGCAAAGUAGAAUGUUUUUGUUCCCAAAAUUGGUCGGGCAGACAGUUUAAGGUUGAGGUUGAGGUCAAGCCUCCUCCUGCUAUGCUAUAAUAAUGGGCACGGCGACCCUGACGACACGACAGACCAAGAAGAGCUUCAGAAACGGGAACCGAAAUCCAAACCCCCGACCCACCCAAGCGUCUCCGCUCUCCUUCUGCCGCAGUGGCCCGCCGCGACGCCAAGAUAGGGACCGACGCCCCCGCCCCCGCCCCGGCCGCGGCCGCCGGAGACGGCGACGCGGCCCGGAAGCGGCCGGGCGGGCAGGACGCGGCCGCGGGCGCCGACAGCAAGCGCCGCCGCGCGGAGCACCCCUCCUCCGGCUCCCGGGACCGCAACCCCCACCAGCCGCAGCGGCAGCAGCAGAAGCCGGGGCGCCCCGGGGACGGGGGCAAGGGGAAGAGGGAGACGAUGCGGGCGUCGCACAUCCUGAUCAAGCACGAGGGGUCCCGGCGCAAGGCCUCGUGGCGGGACCCCGACGGCGUCGCCAUCUCCGCCACCACCCGCGACGACGCCGCCGACCUCGCCCGCGCCCUCCGCGACCAGAUCGCCGCCGGGGAGCUCCAGUUCGACGCCGCCGCCCGCGACAACUCCGACUGCAACUCCGCCAAGCGCGGCGGCGACCUCGGUCAGUGCCCCCUCCCCCCCCUGCCCGCCCGAUUUGCUGGUGCGCGCGCGCUAUGUGCCAUGUUUGUGUGGAUUUGCUUCUGGGUGUGGCCAAUUUGGGGGUGUCGGUGGCGCUUGGUGUGUGGAAUGCUGAUCAGAAUUUGGCAAAACUAGCUUGCGUGGCGUGUUACAUAACCUGGAUAUGUUGGCUGGUCCCAUACAGCCUCACUGGAGUGCUGCAUCUCUGACUGAGAGAUGCACUAUAAUUCAGGCAAUAAUCUGAGUUGUUAUGCAGGAGUAGCUUCAAUUGUGUGCAACUAUGGAUGAAUGCCAGAUGUUCCCUCUUCAACUCUUUAAGCAUUCUACAAGUUCUGUUGGCUUCUUAGCCCCACUAUAAGGCGGUUUGUUGUCAGUACCCAUGUCUGUUAUAUUGGAACUGACCAAUUAAUAUCUCUCUCUUUAUCUAAUCUUAGCCCACUAUAAGGCGGUUCGUUGUUGGCACCCAAGUCUGUUGUAUUCGAACUGACCAAUUGAUGUCUCUCUGUUAUCUUAGUCCACUGCAAGUCGGUUAGUUGUUGGUACCCAUGUCUAUUGUAUUUGAACUGACCAAUUAAUAUCUCUCUGUUCCUGUCAUAUUUUUUUUUGACCUUUCAGUGAUUAGGUAAGUACUUAUAUCCACUAGAACAAAUAAUGGUCGCGUUAACCAACUCAGGAUGAUUUACUCCAGUUAGUUCCCUAAUUUGCUCUUUCUAUGAGUUUUGUUAAUAAUAAUUGCGAAGGUUUCCUUGUUUUCUCUGAUUUUUUUGUUGCCUGCAACUAUAUGUAAAAACUGGUAGUACAUGCUUUAUGUAUGUUAUAAUUCCAAUGUCCAGGCUACCUUUUGAGCCUGCCCUUAGCCAGGUCAUUUUUUAGCUGAGAUUCCUACCUGCAUGAAUAUUGUGGAAUGUUGCAGGGAUAACACACGCCUGUGGGACACACCAAAAUACACUAUAAAGACGUGGUGAUAUAUUACUUUUCCAAAAACAAGAAGCUGACCAACUGAACAUGGUGGCAUGUUUAAAUUGUAUAGUGUUUCAUAGUUGUUCUGUCCAAAAUUACAGCAUGCUUCUCUGCAGUACCUUUUCUAUAAUUGAUAAUUUCCUAGGGUUAUCGAAUCAUCGAUUUUGGAACAUUAAAUGGGACAAUUGAGCACCAUUAUGAGCAAGAACGUUAAAAAAAUUUAAGUCGACCAACCAGGCACUAGCACCCAGUGGCAUUGUUCUAAAGAAGUACGACGGACACCAGCCAGUCAGUCCGUGGUGCGUAAACAAAUUCCACCUCAUGCAGGUGUUGAACCCUGGUGGGCGUGUUGUCACUGGAGCACCCCCACCAAACGAGUGACGUUCGGUUCUCAAAUAUGUUCUUAUUGUGUUGACAUAUUUGCACUGCAUGCACCCAGCAUCCACAAGGGACUAAAAUCAUGAAAAUAGCACACAUCACUAGAUUUUUUUCUUCCUGGCGCAGUAUUUUUUCUAGUGUUCUUAACCAACUGCAUCUUACAUUGCUAAGAAAUGUGAAUUGCUCUAGGCCUGUUCAGGUAAACUCUAUUUUGCAUGGGAGUAUGGGAUGAAACAUCUGUACAACGUAGACAAUCCCUGCAUUAAAAUGCUAGUUCAAAACUGCGACACUUAUUAGGGAGUAUCAUAUUUCGGGGAUGCAGUCUAGAAUCUGUUUUGCCUUGAUUUAUGUUAUUUGGAUGCUGUAAUGAAGGAAUGCCAUGUGCAUCAUACUGUUAUGUCUUGUCUUUUUCCGCGACAAACUCGUGGUCUUUCCAGUUUCCACUACUAGUACUUCAUUACUGUCUUCUAUUGUACCCCUGAUGCUUCAAUUCAGUCAUUCUCUUUAUGAUUCAAAAAUUCGUUCAUAAUCAGGCCUAACUUAGCGUUUCACGAUUUAUGGCCGUAGGUCCAUUCGAGAAGGGCAAGAUGCAGAAGCCUUUCGAGAAGGCAGUGAUUGCUCUGAAGGUGGGGGACAUGAGCGACGUGGUUGAUACUGAGAGCGGGGUGCACAUCAUCUUGAGGACCGGGUGACAGUGUCCGUGGAGAUCCAUAUGAGAUUGGCUUGAAACAUCGCUCGUUCUCUUAAGCAGAGACCUUUUGUUAUUUAACCUGCAUUGUAACAGUGCUGACUGCAAAGCUACUAAGGGAUUGGUUGUAUGCCAGGAUUAGACGUUGGUGGUGCCUGUGUUGUCUCGAUAAUGUUACAGCUUUUGAGUGGAAUUCAGUUGUUAUUUAAGGUUCAAGUGUUGAACAGUCAAUUUGAGUCCAGCCACUUUCACAUUCACAUAUUUGCGUUUACCAUGACCACUGCACUUGUCUCGGGAAGAUCACUAGCGAAGCAACAACUAAAACACAUGAGAUGACAAUCACAACAGUAAGUAGUAU